CAUCCUUGGAAGUAGUUAAGCAAUAUUUCCUCAAGCAUCAGCUAGUGAUGAUAUGACACAAUUUCUUCUCAAGAAACAACAGCUCCAAGCCAUGCCUGUAGCAGCAAAAACCCCUCAAGAAUUCCAGAAAAUCCUUAAUGAAGGAAGCUCAAGUUUUUCCCAAGAAAACUCUUAUGCAGAAUCUGAUGAUUCAACAAGCUACCUUCCCGAUAAUGGUGAUGACUGUGAGGUAUUCUUCCUCCAAUAAGAAAAUCCAAGCAGUAAUCUUUAGCUUCAUGAUUGUAAGAUUAUUCUCUCCAUCAAGCUCAUUUCAACGCCAAAAGCAGUUUUGUCUUCCAACAUAUACGUCUAUAGUUCAGGAAAUGGCCUGCCAACCGUUUUUCCCACCGAAAGUAAGAUUCUUUGCUGAAAAGUCUAAAAGUGCUACAGUAAAAAAAAAAAAAAAAAAUGCUACUGUUCACUUUUACUAUUCAUGCACAGGUUAACUAUUCACAACAGUCGGUCAAAAAGCAAAUAGUGAUUUGUCUCCUGAUUUGUAUUAUUUAAUAUUCUCUUUUGGGCUAUUUAAAGAGACUCGAUCCUCAUUUGUAAGCACCUCUAAUUUUUCACUUCCAACUUAUGCUCUCCCUUCUCCCUUCUUUCUCUCUCAUCAUGUAGGUUUUCCAGCCCAAAGCUUUCUUCAAAGCUUUUCUCCCUUCUCCCAUUGUAAGAUAUUCAUCUCCUUAUAUAACUAUGUUUUAUUUUAUACCUCCUAUUAUGGAUGGUUUUCAAAUUAUAUAAUAAUCUAAGUAUGUUUUUGGUUUUCAUUAUACCUCAUAUCAUGGAUGGUUUUCAGUUUAUGUAAUUAAAAGUUUAAUGUUCCUUCUCUUUAAAUUUCUUGUUAAAUAUCUUAUAUAUUUUCUGAUUUCUCUUAUUUGUUUUGAAAUUUGGUAUAAUUCAUGUUUUCAUUACAUAUAACCUUGUCCUGGGUGCCCAUCAUUUUUAUAAUGGUGUAAUAAUGACUAAAGUUGUCUGUCAAUAUUAAGCCCAAAGCCAAAAAAACUUUAUAUAAUAUUUAUUUAUAAAAACUUAUCCAUCUUAAAUUUUUAUAAUUUUAUAUUUUUAUAAGAUAAGAAAUAUUUCUUUCAAAACUACAACUCACCAAGCACCUGCCCACAUUUGGAAGUUAUGGAUGGAUUUUGACAAGAAAUACUAUAUUUUUUAAAAAUUAUUUUUUAAUACUUAAUAAUUCAAAAAAUAUUUUCAAAACUACUAUAUAAAAUUUCGAAAUUAUCUUUUAAUUAAAUAAAUUUAAAUUUAAAAUCCUUUUUAAAAAUAAUUUUAAAGUAAAAUUUUAAAUUUAAAUUAUCUCAAAAAAUAAUUUCUUAUUAAUAUCUCACAAUAUUUUUUUACAGUCAUUAGAUAUAUAUAUAUAUAUAUAUUAAACCUUGGGAGAGGGAAAAUCCCACAAUGCUAUCUCAAAUCUUAUUUCAUGACUGUGACCAAAAAAAAUGAAAGAAAAAAGACUGAUAAAAUUUUUUAAAAUCUUAUGCAGCUUAAAUUUUAUUCGUUUUUCUAACACACUAAAAAUGAUUUUAUAAAACCCAAACUCUUAAAUUAUUCAUUAUUUGUUUUUUUGGUAAAUUCCAAAAAUUAUUUUUAUUCUCCCAGUCUCAAUUGAUUCCUCCACCUUUCUUUUUUUAAUACAUCCAAAAAAAUAUCAUAUAAACACAUACGUGUGUAAAAAUGCAUGUAUGUGCAUACGUAAAAAUAAAAUCGGGUAUUUGAUAAAAUUUAAAAUAUACUUUUAAUAUUUGAAAAAUCUUUAUAAUAUUAAAAAUUUAUUUAUAACAUUUUCUAAAAAAAAAUUAACAAAUAAUUUUUUUAAAAAUACUUUCAAAAAAAUAUUUUCUUUAAAAAUAAUUCAAGUAAAAAACUUUUGAAUACAUUUUAAAUCAAAUGUAACUAUUACUCUAGUGGUAUCCUACCAUAGUAUAAGAAAUUUCAAAUUCUAAUUCAAAUAUGAGUAAUUAAAUUAGUUAUGCAUUACAAGGGUUUAUACUAAUUAAAAUUUUAAAAAAUAAUUUCAAUUUAGCUACUAAAUUUUUAAAUCCCCUUGAAAAAAAAAAGUAACUUCAAAUUUAUUAAUAUAAUAACUCAAAACUUAUCAUCAAAUCAAAGUUGUAUGAAUUAAUGUACAAAAUUAAAUUAAAUUAAAUAUAAUAAUAAUAAUUUAAUUAUAACAAUCCACUGAUUACAAGUCCCUUCUCAAAUUUUCCAUUUCUAAAACUUGGGAACUCAAGAAUUGCUUUGUGUUGUAACACAAAAUUUGGAUUUUAAACUAACGUUGAAAUUAACCCUUUUGUAGACGUGGAAAAGCCACCUCAUCCUAAUUUUACUUUUUUCAAGUUGAAAUUACAUUAGGCAAAAGUGGUUACAUUUUUUAUGAUUUUAUCUAAUUAAUUUAUAUAACUUUAUUAUUAUAAGAUUAUUAAUUUUUUCCUAAAUAAAAUAGUAAUUUAUUAUUAAUUGAAAAAAGUUAAAUUUAUUGAAUAAUAUUAGACUCUUAAAUUUAAAUAUACAUACUUUUUAUUAUUAAAAUAUACAUUUUUAAUUUCAUGUAAAUAAGAGUAUUAAUUAGAAAAAAUAUAUAUGUUUUAAUAAUGAAAAAUCAGUAUAUUUAAAUUUAAGAGUCUAUUAUUACUUAAUAAAAAUAAAACUUUAAAAAUAGUAAUAAAUUAUUAUUUUAUUUAUCAAAAAAUUAAUUAUUUUAAAAUAAUGAAGUUAUGUGAAUAAAUAAGAUAAAAUUAAAAAAAAUCAUAAAAAAACAAAAAAAAUGAUGUGGCUCGUAUGUGAAAGUGAUUUUUUUUUUUCCUACAUACCAGCCCAAAUCAUUAAAUUUGGUUUUAUUUUAUUCAGUUAAAAAACAAAUAUUACCUAAUUUUUUAAAUAGAAAAUUUGUGAUUAAUAUGUAUGACAUGGACCAAUGACAAUGAAGCGUUCCAGCGUGGACACGUGAAACCGUAGCGAAAGGGUCCCAAAACGGUAGGCGGGGGACGUUAUUUUCUCACCUGCUAUGACCGUACAUGUCAGACAACAUUGACACGUGUCAUUACGGAUGGUCUUCCGCGGCCAGGGAUCGGGUAUAGUAGAUGCGUGGGUCUUUCGGUCGGUCGACCUGAGCGAUAGAAACACGCCGCAACGACUUUGACUGGUUAAUGUGUCCCGAUGUGUCAAGUCAUGGAGGGUGGACUAAUAAAUUUCGAUGUGGAUCCUUUGAACUUACCUUCAGAGUCCACCUCAACGCCGGCCACGUGUUAAUAAUGGAGGCGGGCUCCACUGGGCAGUUAGCCACUUAGCCCUUACAACUGCAAACGAGCCCACUCCAGGCUCCAAAAAAAUAAUAAUAAUAGUUUAAAUUUUUAAUCAAAAUUUUAUUUUAUAAAACAUCAAAAAAUAAUAUUUUAAAAUGCUUUUGAAACCCAAAAUUUUUCUAUUUUUUAAGGAAUAAAUAUAAUGCUAAACAUUUUUGAAAAUCAUUUUCUUGCACAAUAAAAAUAUUUUUAUUGAACAAUUGACAUAUUCCGUAGAUGGUGUGCAAAAAACAUGAUAUAUCCGACAACAUUUGGGUCGUCACCUUUCUUAGUUCUUACCAAUGUCAUUAAGAAGGGUAGACAAGACUUGUCCUCGGAGAAAUUUACUAGUUCCAGAAAAACAUCAUCAACGAUUUUCGUUAUAUGAAUUGACAUCACAUACUAUGAAUCCCCCACUCGAAUACAACAAAUAUGGCAAAGAAAUGUAAUAAAAAUCAUAACGUUUUGGUUGAAAUCGAAGGGAAUGGUCCCAAUUGGAGAGGUUGAGAGUUGAAGAGGAGAGAAGCAUCUCACAUGGCCUGUCCGCUCUCAACUCUCAACUCCACAUUCUUCAAUCCUACUCACAAUUUGAACUUGGAUCUAACAAAAGAAAAUUAUUAUUUUUUCCUUUUAAACAACGUUGCCCCUUGUCCACUGACAGGAAAAACAGCAGACGUCUUGACCGGGCAAAAUUUUCUAGAACUGGCCCAUGGGCCCCUUGAUUGGGCAAACACCACACUAACAUGGACCACACAUGUCGCCCUGCUCAUAGGAUGUGUCGGGCCCUCUCCACCCAAAAUAGCCACAUUUAUUUAUUAAUUUUAAUUUUAUAGACCUGGGUUGGCACGUGGCAGAAGACAUGACUGAAAUCAGAUAUUUUUUCCAAACGCAUUUAUAGAAGUUUGAUAACGUGCAUGCUACGAUGAGACUCUGAGAGCCUCACUUCACUUCAGUUGUGUUCUUCAUCGCCUCAGUCAAGGCUGAGGAUAACGUGAAUUGAACAUGUGUGGAAGUGGGUUUUCAACAUUUAUUUGAAAGCCUCUUGAUAAAAAUCUCUAAGCUAUAUCACAAUCAUUGAUUUAUAAUUUUGCUUGAAUAUUUAAAAAUAAAAAUUAAAAAUUAAAAAUUAUCUUUUUCAAAAGACUAUUUUAAUUUAUAAUUAUUUUUAAUAUAUACACUUGUCAAAAAUCUCAAACAAAAUCAUUUAGAAUACAUUAAAAAUAUAAAAGAAAAUGUAAAGGAAAUGAAAGAUAUAAAAAAAAAAUUGAAGUUAACCUAUUUAAUUUAUUUUAUACAAAGUAACUAAUUUUAAAAUAUAUCAAAUUUUAAUCACUUUUCAUUAUUUUUUAUAAAAUUAAACAUGAAAAAUUCAUAUUUUUAAAAUUUAUUUAUUUUAUAAAUCAUUUACCCACCAAUAAUGAAAAAAAAAAAAAACGUCAUCCUUUGAUCAACCUGCAAGCAAAAUCAUUUGCACUGUAUUUGGUCACAAAAAAAAUUAAUUGAAAAUGCAAAGAAAAUAAAAAAAUUUAAAAAUUUACAAAUAAAUUUAUGGCGAAUAAAUCACUUAGCCGAUUUUUUAAUUAAUUUAAUUUAUUUUUAUAAAAUCGUGAAACUCGUUUAUUUAAUAUUUUUCCUAAUAAAAUUAUUUUUUUAAUACUUCUUUUCUUUUCGUUCUCUGUAACAUUUUCGACAACCAAAGUAGGUAAAGAAAUAUGCCAUAAUUAAAAGAACAAGUCGUUAGAUAAGCAUACAUCUCCUUGGGCAGAUGAAUGCGAUUGCAGGGUGUAGCAAGGCAAGGCAAGGCAAUGUAACUAAAUACAAGGUCACUUCAUGUCUCCACCAUGAGGACUAUAACCCAUGACAAUCUCACCUUGCACGCCUCUUCAGUGGUUUUGGUCUGAGCGUAGGCCAUUGAACAAGAUGGGAGAUUUUUUUUGGUAACAUCAGAAGGGCUGCCUUCUAGACUCUCGGCAGCCUCAAUGCCCCGCCUAUUCAUUAUUGAAUAUGACGCUUAACCUCUCCCUCUGUUGCACGCGGUCUGAUGCUUACUUUUACUUUUUUUUACUUUCCUUGACCGACGCGGCAGCAGCGUGCGUGAGUGCGUGAGCAAGAAAGCUUUGGAGGGCACAGUCCCCUUCAAUCUGCAUUUCCUCUAGGUAACUGGACUCCAUGGGCGUCUACAAUCUGGAUCUGUUUUCACAACAUAGCAUUCAGUUCAGUGUUUGAAUGAUUUUCUUUAUUCAAUUUGGGCUGGGCCCAAAUUCAAAUCAUUUCAAUGGAAUAUGUAGAAUAUUGUUGAUUGCUAGAUGGAAUACACGUGGGGUUGGUGGGCAACCUUAUGGAAUAAGAAUUAAGGCGUGGUGACUUCAGAGUGUGGGGGAAGGGGUGUCUGUAGAAUAAGUGGUGAGGGUUUUAUGGUACGGAAUGAUUAGGAGAGGCAGGAGGUGAGGUUAGAUGAGACACUCGGGACCUUGAUAGUGGCAUUGGAUGGAGUGUAAGGGUAUCAGGGCGGUUUGGAAGGAGGCUUCUGGGCGGAAUUUGUGUCCACAAAUUAGAUCUUUUUUUCAGUGGCUUAGAGGGUUUUGUUUUGUGUGCUUUGGAAUGACUGGGUGGCGACGCUGGUAUGGUAUAUUCAAUCAAAUCAAUUGUGGCCAAGGCCUUUUCCACAAAUAAAUAUAUAAAAGUUGCUCUUCUAAGGCCAGGCCGCCAAGGGUCUGGUUAUACCGUUAUAGUUACUCUCUUGGUACCUACAAAAUAAGUUACCCCAAAUAUUUUAUUCCAUAACAUUUUUCUAAUUUUAAAAACUAUCCUAAUAAUUUGAUAUUUAACGUGACUAAAAAAAAGUUUCAAUAUUAAAAAUUUUAAAUUUAACGAUAAUUUCAUAAAAAUUAACCAAUUAGUUCUUAUUGUGUAUAUUUCAACGUCUCAAAUAUCUUAUUUUAUGAUACCUUAAUAUUUUUCUUAUUCUAAAACUUAGGAUGAUAAUUUCAAACCCGAGAAGGUUGUAUUAGAAAAAAUUGAAUGAUAUUUUUAAAUUUAGUGAUUGGCUUAGGAAAAAUUUUAUGGAAAAAAAAAGAGUAAAAAUGAUGAAAAUAUAUGUUUUAAAGAAUGGGUUUAACAUAAAAACAAAAAUAGAUAGAGUAAGAUAACAUCUAAUAUGAUUAAAAUAUAUAUAUUAUAUUUUUUAUUUAAUUUUUAAAUGAUAUAUUUUUUUAAAAAAUCUCUAAUUUGGGCAUUAGGCCCAAGAAAAAAGGUACCAAACUACCCUCUUUGAUGUGGAAGAACUAUAUAAUUUCUUUUUUUUAAAAAAAAAAUGGAUUGAAAUAAUAUUUUAUAAAUGUAGUUUUGGGGAAAAAAAAUAUGACUAUGUAAUUUUAAACUUAAAACUGUAUCUUCUCAAUAUAGUUUCUUCUUCCUUUUUAAAUUAAAUUGACACUAUUUUCUUUUAUUCAAAAUCAAUAAUUUACUUCAUUUUCAAAUCAUAAAUGAUAAAAAAAAAAUGUAUUCAAGGAAAUUUUAAGUUUAUAGGGAUUACCUGUAUUUAACUUAAGAUUAAUGAAAUUAAUUCUAUAUCUUUGAAACCGGGCUUCACCUCGAUAUGGUUGGGAACAGAGUUAAAAAAUGUUGAAUAUUUUAAUAAAAUUAUAUGGGAUAAAGUGUGUCCUCUUAAAGUAAUAAAGGUUUAAUUUGUAGCAAGGGAGGAAGAGUCUUACUUUAAUAGUUUAGAUUUCCAACUUUCAAUUAUUUAUUAAUUUGUGUUAUAUAACAUUAUCUUUACGCAUUCAUUUGUGUUAUAAAAGUAAUGAACAUUUCAUUACUAGGGUUCACACUAGAUGAGUCUAAAUUCCUUCGUCAUAAGAUGGAUGGCAACUAUAGAAACCUCUUUCAAUUUCUCUAUUGACUAAUCAAAAAUUUAAAAAAAAAAAAAAAAAAAAAAAAAAAGGAAGGGAAAGCAGCCCAUUCAACUUCCAAACCAACAAAAGUAAAAAUGGAGAAAAAGUGAAAAAAUAAAAUAAAAAAUGAAAAAUAAUUUAUCAUCAAUCAGAAGUCGUCCAUGUCAUGUCAUUCUCAAAGAUCCAAUGGCACACCUCUAUGAGCCCAGGGCUGGACCCCAGCGCCACGAAAGCGCCAUGGCUCUGACUCCAUGCUGACGUGUCAAUAUGACAGAUGGCAACCCCUUUAUUCAUCUUCUCUUUGCGCUCCACGUCAAGAAUGUCCACCUCGUAAACCCUAACCUUGGGAACUGAGUGGCAAUAAUACAGUAAGUAGGGGUACAGGCUUUGGUGGCAUGAUACUGAUCUAGUCACUUUUCCGCCGUUGAUCCCUCUGACUUCCCCCACCAUCACCCUCUGCUUUGACCCACGCGUCGUCUCCGUGGUUCUCACCACCACGUCGUGCCCCAGGACCGAGACGGCGAAGUCUAUCAUGUCCUCGACCGAACCCACGCACCGCUUGGUCUCGCCGCGACUCGGAGCUCUCUCGCACUCUUCCAGCGCGUUCGCAAUCACGUGCUCCAUCGUGGAGUUGUCCCGCGCGUGGAAGAUGUCCUUGAGCUCCUGGAGACGAGAGGAGGAAAAUGGUAAUUUGGACGCGAUGACGCGGGGCAAAAACGACCUUUCGGGCAUUCUGUCGCGUAUGUCUGGCAUCACCAUAACAUUCCCCUCCUUUAACAUGGACUCGCGGAAGAAUUUGCCCGGCUCGACCCAUCUAUUUACGGAAAUGCCACUCGCGGUAGUCGCGGUAGCGGUAGUGUUGCUACUUGCACGGCUGUAUUGAGAGAAGGUUACACCCUUUCUUUCAUAGUCUUUGAAUGUGUAAUUCAAACCGUAGAUUUUGAACCCAACCGACGAAUCCGUCGACCCUUUUCCGUAUUCUUUGAAUGUGUCGUUUCCUACGUUGAAUGUCCUCCCAUAAUUCGCGAAAUUCACUUCUGCAGAGUUCGAACUCCUGGCAUAAGAUUGAAAUGAAUCGUCACCCACAUUGGCUCCAUCUCUGUAAUUUGAGAAGGUAUCCGUUGCGGCAUUGCCUCCAAGGCUGUAGCUCUUGAAAUUGUUAUGUGGGUUGUUGGAGGAGUGGCCGUAAGCUUUGAACGAGUCGUUUUGGCUAUUGGCUAAUUGGCCGUAAGCUGUGAAAGUGGAGCCGAUGAUGUUGGAGUUGUCGCCGUAGCUGGUGAACUCAGCCGGGACGUUCUUGCCGUUCUUGCCGUAGCUGGUGAAGGACUCGGUGCCGGAGUUGGUGUCAUCGGUGUAGGCCGCGAACGUGAGUUUGUGGUUGUUGCCGUUGGGGUCGUACGUGGUGAAUUCGAGAUGGGGGACGUUGACCAGUGGGUCGUAGUUCGUGAACUCACCGGAGCCGCCGGUGGCGCCUGAGCCGUAGCCGGCGAAGCUCCCGGUGGCGACGUUCCCGUCUCGAGCGUAGCUCGUGAACUCUUCGUGGUGGUCAGUGGAGUCCCCGCUGUACCGCCGGAACGAGCCGCUGGGCAUGUUCAACCCGUCGGAGUAAUUCUUGAACGAGUCAACACCACCGAUUCGCGAGUCGCCAUAGUUGGCGAAUCCUCUAUUGGAGUAAAAAGCGAAGUUAGCGUCCUUGACUUGUUUUUCCGAAGUGGGCGAUGAGUCGAAGACACAGAACAAGUUGGCAGAGGAGCAGAAGGAUGAUAGAUGAGAAGACAGAGCGUUUUGGGUGGCGAGUUUGGUGAGAACGGCCGAGUCGACGGCAUUGAGUGGGGAAGCUUUUGAGAGAAGAAAAGAUGGUUUGGGGAGCUUGUUCGAUAUCUGUUUGUUCCAAUACCGAAUCAGGGAAGCUUUCGCCGUAAAGGGGUUGCCACCGGUGGAUGACUUUCCUUCAGCGAAACAUACCUGCAUUCACAGAAUCCAAGCAAGAAGAUCAGAAGUAAGACAAAACAGAUAGAAAGCAAAAAAAACAAGAUGAAGGUUUCGAUUCAGUACAUUGAAAGAUGUGAAUGACAAGUACAAGAAGAAUACGAAGAGAAUGGUUGUGAGCAAUGGCGGUGUGCGCAUUGUUUCCAUGUCUGAGAAUCUGAAAGAGAGAGAUCUGGAAGAAGGGAAGCAGGUAAUAUAAAUAAAGAGAGAAAGAACCACCCCCUCUGAGUCUGUGUUGAGAAUAGUACUUCGUUUUUGCUUUACAAAGUUGGCUCUUUGUCUCCUCUCUGGUGUUGUGAAUUGGCCAAAAAGAUUCACAAAAUCAAAGGCGUAGCCAUCAUUUGACAAUACCUUCCACUUGACUCCUCUUUCUCCUUUAUUCUGCUCUUAAUCUUUUUAUUUUUUCCACUCAUAGUGGAUCUUACGUACUCAAAUAGGAAUGAAGUGAAUGAUGAUUUUAAUUCAUAUGAUCAUGGGAAUCAAGACCAUAGAGUAAGUUGUUAAUGGGGAGCAAGUGAUUCUUGUAAACACAACCACAUUAUCAUGUGCGGAACACAAGAUUCAGAGCAGCCAGCACCAUUGAACGGGUUCCACUAGGACACCAAAAUCGAAGAACCAUAGUUGGUGGCAAAAAUAAUGUAGAAAUUCAUGGUUUCUUAAUAAUUUUUGGAGCUUCCUCUGCCACUGCUGCAAACCCAGAGACGCUUCUCUUUUGACCAAUCCAAUGUGUACCCAAAACAUCAAAAACAAUAAAAAUAAAUAGGGUUGGUCCAUCUACUACAUAAUUUAUUGUGCUGAUCAGUAAUCAUUAAAAUAUGUGAUCUUAGUAAGUAUAAUUUUAUAAUCUUGUUACAUGUGAUUUCUUUUUGCUUCACUGUUUACCCACCUAACUCUAAAUAUUUUGUUGGGUAGUAACACCUUCAUCUUUUUGUUUUAUAUGAAUGCUUUUCUCAAUGCUGUUUUGGAGGCAUUUAUUUUUUCACUCUUAUGAAAGCGUCAAGGUUAAAUGAGCCUCACCUUGAGCUGUUUUGUUUUAACUUCAACAGCUCAACUCCAGCUACCGAAAGACAAAAAUAAGAGAGAGAAAGAAAAAGUAAAAGAACAGGAAAAAGGAAGUGGCAAGGAGGCAAGGAGGCUCCUGUCACAGUUGUCCUUUUUCUGUAUACUUGUUUAUUGUUCUGACAUUUCAAUUUUCGUCACGCUUUCAUGAUUACCAGAGACUUUAAUUUUCUAUCUAUAUGUAUAUAUUUUUUUGCUUUAUCUCGAAGGUUUGAAAUACAAACAAAAAAAGUGUUCAACUUGACUGGAUAUGCACAAAAGAGGAUCAAAUUCGAGUGAAAUGCCAUUUAAGGCACUAGCGAUUCAUUCAUUUCAAGAAGACAACCAAAUCCCCGCAUAAAAAAGCUGCCCAAGGAAAGCACAUCAAGGUGUUAAAGACUGACAGUGAGCAAGUCCAUUUCAGACAGAAAAAACAAAGGAACGAUUCUGACUGAUCAUGAAAUAUAUAGCCAAAAUUUCAGACAACUACACCUAAACCAGAACUUGGCAAAAAAAUCUGUGAAAAAUGACAAAAUCGGAUCCGACAUUUCCACCAACUCCUUUAACAAACUCUGCCCGACAUCCCAUGUGGUCGAAUCAUCAAAUACUUUACUCCGGAAUCAUUUGCUCGUUGUCUGCAUCUCCUUCUUGCUCAAUUGUAGGCUUUGAUGGAGCUUGGCCUGCUCCAGGGGCUUGUUUCUUUUUUAUUCCACUCACGAUGUCGUCGAUCCUAAGCAGCAUGCAAGCAGCCUCGAUGGCGGUCUUAAAGGUCUGUGCCUUCACAUUAUAAGCAUCCCAUAUCUGGAAAAAUAUGUAUGCAGUAUCCAGUUUCACAAAUUAAAAACAAAAACAAAAAUCCAAAUUGUGAAGCAAUUAGAAAGUGAAUAGGAUUAUAGGAGAAGAAAAUCUCGAACCUUACGCUCCUUCAUGUCAGUAAUUGCACCAGUACUUCCAUCUAUUCCGAUCCAGGCAUUUUCACCAUUUGCAUGCUAGAGAAAAAGAUGGAAUAAGAAACAUACGAGACAAAAGAGAUGUGUUAAAUUUUUAUUUUCCGAAGAUGCAGAAAAACAAUGCUGAGUAAUUGCCCGAUCCAAGAGAGCAUUAUCAUUGUUUUCACAAUGGGCUAUAACACUUAGCUAUGACAUUAAGAGUGCGUUUGGGAGUGAUUCUAAAAAACAUUUAUAGCAUUUCUAACACUUAAAUGAUAAAAAAUUUCAAGCGUUAGAAAGAUUAAAAGUGUUUUUCUGAAUCACCACCAAACAAGCUCUAAAGUUCCCAUAUUGGAAUGAUUCUCGUAAAAACUCUUUUAGCAUGUAAUGCUUUUGUCGAUAGCACACGCUUUUUGCCCCAUAUGAGAAUGAUUUUUAUAAAUAAUCAGUGUUAGCGUUUAAAUGUAAAAAAAAAUAAAAAAUAAAAGGUGUUUUUAUCAUUCAUCACAUAAUAAAAAAAGUGUAUUUGAAAAAUCACCCACCAAAUGCUAGCAUAAGAAUCACUUAAGUGAUUCUCUCUACUACAUUUUUUAAAAUAAUUUCAGAUUUUGCCAAACAUCUAAUUUUCCUUGUAAGAAAAAUAUUUCCAGGCACUAAACAGCAUCUUCAGCCCUUGCAAAAUCACUCUCAAGCGAACUCAAAAGCUCAAAGAGAAAGGUAUAUAUAACUAAAUACAGCUCUUACCUUUCCCUGCAAAGCAGUCAUAGUCCUAAUCACAUUCACACCACAAUUCUGUGCCAAAGUACGUGGAAUAGCCUCAAAAGCUAUAGCAGCAGCUUCAUAAGGCCACUGUUUCACAAACGAGCAGAAAAUUACAAAUAGGGAAAAUUGCAUAAAGCAUCAGAAAACUGCAGUGCAAUAACUAAACAAUUUCAUAAAACCUUGGUGAUUAUCAACCAAUAUUUAUCUUGAAAAAUUCAAAUGGAAAAACCACAUCAAAUUUGAUACAUGAGAAAGAAGCAAAAUUUACCUUUUCAAUGCCUUCAACAGAUGAACUUUUCUGUUUUAGGGUAGCUGAAACAGUUAACUCUGUAGCACCCCCACCAGGAACAAGCUUUGGAUUCUUUAUCAUGUUUCUUGCCACAGACAUGGCAUCCUGUUAAAAGAAAACAAUACUUCAGAACUCCAUAGAGUUGAUCUAUAUGUAACAGCAAAUUAAAUCAAGGAGAUACCUGCAAGUUUCUUUCCACUUCAUUCAAAAGAUCCUUGCUCGCACCUCUAAGAAGAACAGUGCAUGCUUUAGGGUCUGUGCACUCAUCUAUGAAAGCAAAGAACUCAUCUCCAAUCUUCUUGACCUCAAAAAUUCCAGCCCUAGUUCCUACAUCAGAUUCUUGAAGUUCAUCUGGUCUGUUUACAACAACAGCUCCACAUGCCUUAGCAAUCCUGUUGUUGUCUGUUUUCCUCAAUCUUCUGAUUGCACUAACUCCAGCUUUACUCAAGUAAUGGCAUGCCAGGUCACUAAGCCCCUUUUCUGUUAUGACCAAAUCGGGUUUGAAUUUUAGUAUUUGCAUGCACAGAUUCUCAAUGUAUUCUUCCUCCAUUUUCAGGAGAAUUCCCCAGUCUUCUUCUCUAACCAACUCUGCAUUUGUUUGGUUCUCCCCUUUUUUAUAUUCAAGGGGGCAAUCAAGAAGAAUAAUACGAGGGUUGAUAAUCUUUCUUCUCAUUUUUCCAGGGGCCACAACAUCUUUGUUAAUCAUAACUCCUUUAAGAACCUUGGAAUCUUCCAACUGGCCACCAGGGACUUUCUCAACCUUUAUGUACUUCUUAAUGUCCACUUCUCGCAAUCCUUGACCAAGGUCCACACCAACAGUUGUGGUAGCAUCAAGUGCUAAAUCCUAGAAGUUGACCAAAGAGAAAACAUGUUAAAAAAAAUUAAAAUAUAGAUAUUUUAAAUAAAUAAAAACAUACAAUGCUCAUAUACAAUAAAUCAAUAUUGAGAGGCAAGUUAAAGACAACAAAAAGAACAUAAAUUCCAACAAUUUUUUAAGCCAAACAACUUCUUAAUAGAAAUAAACAAUAUAUAAACAUAAAAGCAACAAAUAACUGACUUUCAUCCACAAAGAUUUUCAACACAAAUAACCAAGAAAAUUUUCUGAAAUAAUGGAAUGAGCAUCCUCCAUAAAAAAUAGUUAGUUAUUGGAAUUUGGAAAGUAAGAAGUUAUACAAAGAAAAUCAAAUAGACAAAAUGCCAGUCAUGAAGGAUUUGGUAUUCCGAUGAUAAGCAACCAAAUGCAUAUAUCUACUUUUAACCAAAAAUUUAUAAGAUAUAAAGAAAAUACUUACAGCAAUUAGAUCCCCAAAUUGACCAGUAAAUUUUGUACCUAUACAACUCUUCACCAUUCCCAACAUUGCAACACCUGCCAAAUAAAGUCAUACAUUAUUUCCACAAAAGAUGUAGCAAAUUUUAAGAACUAAAACAAGAACACUGUACCAUUUAUUUAAAUUACAUGCUUUUUAAAAAAAACUAGGACUUCACUUUCAAGGAUCUACAUGUAAGAGAAGAAAAAAAAAGGAAUCAGACAAAAUACAUUAGGCUCCAUACUAUCAUACAAAGUCAAUAAUCUCUAGUUUUAACUCAACUCUGAAAAAAAGAACCACAUUUCUGGAUUCAAAAUUAUUUCUAAUUACCCAGGUAAAUAAACACUACAAAGAGAAAUUUUAACUCAAAUAAAAAGAAGUGCAUAAAAUAAGAAGGGAAAUAUUGUAAAAGCUUACGGUCAUUCACAUCAACAGGGGCUGCAAUCUUGUCAAGCACCGCAAUAGCAUCCUCAAGAGCUUUAUUAUAAGCUGCAGAAGUACCUCAAUUUUAAAUUGAUCAAAAUAAAAUUUAAAUCACCAAUAAAUAUGAGUACUUUACAACACAUUGAGGUGUUACCUCGACAUAUGACUGUAGGGUGAAAGUUUUUGUCUAUGAAAGCUUCCGCAACAUGAAGCAUCUCACCAGCUUGAACAAAUUUUCAUUUUAACAAUCAGUAACAAAUUAAAGGAUAACAUAAUUUGAAUUAUGUGAAGCAAACAGCUAAAUAUUCACCAAUAACAAUUUAAAAAAAAAAAAGCAACAAAAUCCCAUAUGUGAGUGAAAGAACAAUCAAAUUUGAAAUGGGGCCACAAGUUCAGAUAAGCUGAAUAUAGACAAGCAAGAACAAGUAAAAUAACAAUUUCCUUAUCCAACAAGAAUACAUAAGAAAAAAUAAGUAUAUGUCUAACUGAGAUCCUCCAGCAUAGAAGUUUCUCCUAAAUUUAAAAAGGGAUCAUGUUUUCAUGGUUCGUAAACAGAUCUGUGAAUCUGAUUGCAGAGGUCAUUCUUUCAAUAUUUCACAUUAAUGAUAUAUGCACCCCAUCAAAACAUGAAACAAGAAUAAUAUAAUUCAUUGUUAUUCGAAAGAAUAAUUAUCUACAAGUUUAAGAGAUGUACCAAGAACAAUGACUGAAGUAGUUCCAUCACCAACUUCUUCAUCUUGUGUGCGGCUUAAUUCAAUCAUGGACUGUCAAGUCAUAUAUAAAAAACUCACAACUAAGAUGACAGAGUUUUGAGGAACUAAAUUGACAGAAGCCCAACAGAAAAAAUUUAAAAGCUAAAAAAAUUUAGAUGCUUUGAUAAGCAAUCUAACCAAAAUCUAAAUAAUAUUAAAUGAAAUAUAUAAGCAUACAUUGAAAGGUCAAUAGAGAUUUAAAAAAAAGAACGAGAGAAGAAACACCACAAGACAAAAAAUGAAGAACCAAUGAGCACAAACAACCAUGACCAUAUCCUUUCCACAAUGAUGGAUACACACACCAUACCUUAGCAGCUGGAUGAGCAAGAUCUAACUCCCGAAGAAUAGAAUUUCCAUCAUUAGUGACCACAAUACCUGACAGCAUCCAGAAAAAUAGAUCAGAAAUUGACUAAGUAACUGGGCUUGACAAAAGGUAAGAUUUAUUAUUAUAAAAUGUUUGGCAGUCAAGAAAAUACAUGCUAAAAAAGUGUGCAUAGUAAGUGAUGAUAUAUGAAUUAAUAAUAAUGAAGAAAAGGUAGGAUAAGAAAUUAAUCCAUUCAUAAAAAGUUAGAGAUGGCCCUUGUAAAGUACAAGAAGAAAAGAAGGCUCAACCAUGUGUAAACAAAGGCAACAAAUGCAUGCUAGUAUGAAGAAGUAACUUGAUUAAAGUUGAAUAAUUAAAAAAAAUUAAAAAUUAAAACUUUAAUGGAAAAUACAGCUCUAGAUAAAGUCAAAGAGCAAAAAAUGAUUAGUUUGAUUGACCCUAAGUAGUAGGAAAAAAAGGCUUUGUUGAGCCAAGUUGAAUAUAGCCUUCCCAAAAACUUCCAUAAUAAGAUAUUUAUAAUUGGCCAUCUAAUUUCAUAUAGGCAAAUCAUUUCUGGAGGAAGCAAGGUAUGUGAUUUAAUCAUCUUUUAAUCCACUGCUCCUUCACCUUAACUUCUAAAGCCCAAUAUGUUUCAGGUAGCUAGGCAUUGUUUGUGCAUGUCAAUCCUUGGAUAAAAAAAUUUUCUCCUCAUACUAGGCUUGGGACUAGAGAGCAAAGGUUUUACAGAGAAUGAUUCCUUCUACUCUUGGUUCUGUUAUUUGGAGAGAAGAAUAGGACAUUGGAAAUCAUCCAAUUCUCUUUAGAUAGAAUUGUAAAGAGACUGACAAACUAUACGCAGAUCUUGGUAUCAAACCAAUUCAGUUUUCAUUUCUGUUUUCAUUGGUUUGACCUUUUUGGAUAACUACUGCUUCAUUGUUUGUAAAGUCAUUUUGUGUUCAACCACAUGUUACACAUCUCCUCAUUUUAAUACUGAAAACAUUGUUACUUAUCUUUUUUUUUUUUCUAUUUUUUGAUGGAUAAAGUGUUACUUAUCAAAUUAAUGAACCCUAGGUUCAUUUCCAACAGAACUGAAAACAUCUACUUAUCAACUGAAAUCAAAUCACCUCCUCCAGCAUCAAGUAACAUCUUCAACAUGGAUCUUGGACCCAAGGUUGUGCGGAUUAUGUCAGCCACAGCCUGCAAUGAAAUAGAUAGAGAAUGUCAAUAUGGUUCGAACUCAAUUUUAGCCUUUUGAUAUUGUUCAAUACGAUUUUUUUUCUUUGUUAAAAACAUAAUAGAACUCAAUAAUUUGACAUCAGGAGAACAAUAACAAUGCAUGCGAAAACAAUAGUGGUAAUCCUGUGUGAUGAGAAUUAUCCUUGUGCGUUUAUCUAUCAAAAAAUAAAUCUUGUGUGAUAAGAAAGGCUGGAUGAUUUGGCAUGCUGAUUUCUCAGGGAUUUCUCUGUCAAAUCAGCUUUUAUUUUCAUUUAAGUUGAAGAUUACAUUCAGCGAGCAAGAAAAAAAAAUGUGUGGAAGUUGAUGUCAAAACAAGUUCCAGCUGACAUUAACAUCUGCAAAUGCAAGAAGGAGCUCACCUCAAAAUGCAGAUGCUACUCAACUUCAGAAGAAUACAUGAUUCACUUUUUCCAUGUAAAUGAUUUAACCAGGCAUGUAUAGCAACAUUUUCAUUCCAACUAUCAAUAUUGUGGGCAAGUUGAGUCAUUAUUCACCCUCUUUAAAUGUUGAGGGUCAUAACCAGUUUUUGUAUGUUUUCCCUGCAAGUGGGUUGCAGCCUUAUGUCUUGUGAUUCUUAGAAGAUCUAUUUUGCCUAUCAAAGUGUCACGUUCACAUGGAUGUUUACAAUUGAGGUUUUAACAUUCUAACUAGGUCAAGCAUUUCUUUUGUCCAGCCUCUGAUUUUUUAUUUUUUAUUUUAUAUCAGAAACAACAAAUGAGUUAAAUUAAGGAUAAAGAAAUACAAAUUAAGGAUAAGCAAUCCUCCCAAAAUACAACAAACUAAUCAAAAAGUAAGCUGAAGCAUCCAAAAUACUGAGUAAACCUAUAUAAUAGUAAAGUACCACAUGGGAAUAUACAAAGAAAAACUCAUAACUCUAGUAUUUGAAUAAUUUCCAAGCAACCCCUCCUUGCUAACCCACAGCUUUCGAACUACACACUGAAAACCAAUCAAGCUGGACCACAUUAAGGGGAAUGCCCUUAAAUGCUAUGGUGCAAGAAGCCCAAAAGGAGGCAAAGAAAUGAAUGAUAUACCAAUCUAGCAUCCAAAAUGAACUCAUCAAAUUGCUAUAGCCAUAGAAGUAGAAAUAUCAAGAGACAAAAGACAGGUACAUAAUUGCAACAUUAAAACAUAAAAAGACUUACAUUAGUACAUAAUGCAUGCAUGUAAUUUCAAAUUUUACCACAGAGAAAGUCCCUAACUGGAUCCUAUCACCCCCUUCUAAUGUUAGCACACGCAUGCACACUUGAGAAAUCCAUUCCCUUUGUGGGAUGCCACUGAUGAAUUGAGCUAAUGCAAGAAAUACAUACAACAGGAUCCACAUUAAGGGACCACAGAACAACCUUGCAACAUCCCAACAAAAAACAAUAUUCCAUAAUACAAUGGAAAGAGCAAAGAAUAAAUGUCACAUCAAAAGGAGUUGCAGACUAGAUUAGGUAUUAAAUCAAGAUAAGAAAACAUUUCUCCUUAAAAUAGGCCACAAGAACAAAUUUAUGUGAAGAAAUAACAAAUUUUCUAAAUACAAGGAUCUAUCAGACAAGAAUGGAAAUAUGAGAAAUAAAAAAACUGACAAGAGACUUCAGAAUGAACGCAUUUUAUUAAUAGGUAGUAACACACUGAACCAAAUCUAACCUUUGACGCUUGGAUAUUGGCAUGCUGGACCUUACUUCCUGAUUCGCGAGUCAAAGAAUCCUCUGCAAAUUUUAAAUUACACCAAGCAAUUAGAGAGAUCAUAUAUUUCUAAACUAAUUGUUGAGUACACUUGCAUUAACGGAAAUCCCAAUGAGUGACUACCAAACCUCCACAUCACAUAUUGCUCACAUGUGUAAGUUUGCAUGAGGUCAAACCUAUGGUUCAUUGCCCACAUAAUGAUGAUAUCUUUUGAUGAUACUACAUCCUCUAAUUAAGUAAGAUAUUCUUUGUCAAAAAGUGAGAAGAAAAUGCAAAAAAGGGCAGCUAAAUUCUCAUCACGUCAGUUUUGGCUUAUUUGACCUCCGGUUCAAACACCAUCAAAGGACACCAUGAAUGACCAUACAUGUUCCAUGAAUCUAGAUAUUCUCAAACUCCCAUGUGUCAACCAUGGGCACCAAGGCACAUGACAUUCCAUUUUGUACCCCAAAAACAAAUAUUAAAGCUGCAAAUAUUUUAAAAAAUCACUGAUUUUACAUGAGGAUGAGGUACCUUGUCCUUAAAAAAUACUCAUUUCCUAAGAAGCCAUAGUGUCGAAGAUUUAGGAGUUAGUUACGAAUAAGAGAUUUAGGAGUUAGUUCAAAAAAAAAAAAACUCGCAUUCCUAUUUUGUAGGGAUAAGAUCUGGUUGCUAUUUUUCUAAUUGCUCUCUUUCAUCAAAUCCAGUUAGUUUUGGGUUUGUUAGGUCAUUAGGUUGUUAAGUCUUUUAUGGGAUUGUUGUUCCCUAUUUAUCUAUAAUUUCUCAAUUCUCAGAAUCAAUGAAUUUCAAUUCCCAAAAGCUCACAUAGUAUUAGAGCUUGAUCUUUGGGUCCUAAUCAGAAAAUUUUCAGAUGGAAAAAACCACCAUGACUGGAGCCACCAGAUUGGCCGCUUUUGGAAGGGAUAUGAACAACACUCAAACUAUUUCCUCAGCACCAUUCCAAUAAUUUGAUUAUGCCAAUUUGAAUUCCUCUCUACAAUUAAUCAUUCACAAAUUGAAUGUUAAGAAUUACCAAGGAUGGGCCCAGUGAAUAAAACUAGUGAUGGACAGCAAAGGGAAACUUGGCCAUUUAACCGGUGAAGUAACGAGACCAGCAACAAAUGAUCCGACUUUGAAAACAUGGAGGUCUGAAAAUUCCAUGGUGAUUUCUUAGCUCAUCAAUUUUAUGGAACCAACAAUCGGGAAACCUUAUAUGUUCUUAUUGACAGCCAAAAAAGUCUAGGAUACCAUUCACAACACCUAUUCAGAUCUAGAAAAUUCUUCAUAGAUAUUUCAGUUAAAAAUGAAGCUCUCACAGUCCAAACAAGGAGAUUGAGAAGUGACCAUUAAACACAAUGAGAUGAUGACUUUGUGGCAAGCGUUGGGUUUGUGUUAUGAUAAGGAAUGGGACUGCCCUAAUGACAGUGUGAGAUACAUGAAACGAAUAGAAAAUGAGAGUCUAUGCAUUUCUGGUGGGACUUAACAAGGAUCCAGACGAGAUCAGAGGUUGGAUUUUAGGUAAAAAACCACUAUCAUCCAUCCAAGAAGUUUUCUCUAAGGUACAAAGGGAGAAAACUUAAUGGAACGUGAUGCUAAAUGGAGAACCACAGCCAAAUACUGAUACAAAAGGUUCUGCACUUGUAUCAAAGGGACUUGACCAAGAUGGAGAUCAAAGAAACACAAAAAAAGCCUUAGUGCAAUCACUGCAAAGGGGUAUGGCACACUUCCGAGACCUACUAGAAAUUGCACCGGAAGCCUUAAAACUGGAAAAAAGAAGCCAAGUGGAGAUGGCCAAGGUUUCUAGGUUUCCAGUACUAAUCAAGGGUAACAAGCUACUUUGGAAAUGUUUCCUUUCACUGAGGAUCAGCUAGAACACCUAUAUAAGCUGCUUGAGUCUUCCUCUUUCAAUGUAAACUCUAACCCAUCUCCCUCUUGUUCAUUAGCCCAGAAAGGCCACUGCCUCACAGCCACUUUUGCUAGUGUUAAUUCCACUUCUUGUCAUCCUUGGAUCAUCGAUACCGGUGCAAUUGAUCACAUGACAGACUGGAUCUUCCAAUUUGUUUUCUUCUUACAAAACUUAUGCAAGGAAUCAAAAAAUUAAAAUAGUUGAUUGACCCCUUUUGGCUAUUUCUAGAAAAGGAUCCAUAGUUCUUUCAGAAGCACCAGCACCUGUGGCAACCCCUAUUUCAGAAAUACCCACGCCAAACCCAAAAAUGUAUCCUUCCAGACAAGAAUGGGUUUGGAAUCUUGUAGAUUCUACUAGCAAAGAAGGUAUUCUUAUAUCAAGGAAAGAUUAUACCCGCAUGAUCCUCAGAUCAGGAACAAUCUCAAUGUGUAUGCUGAUUGUUUCAUCUGAGAGACCAUCUAAGUAAAGGCAAAUAGGGGCAAGAAGGCUUUCUACCGGAUUAGGUAUUGGUUGUCCAAAAGAAAGAAGAAGUAGGUUCCUAUCGAGACCUAUCUAUCUUGUAAGAAUAUUGUAUUGAAAACUUGACCGCAUCUAGUAAUUUUUUCCACCAUGCUAGGAGAUUUCCAGUGAAGCCUAACAGUAGCAGAUUGGCUACUGCUACAGGAUGAAGUCCAACUUAAACAUAGGUGUUAGUGGCUACCAACUUAUUUGCCAAAACAACUUCAACUUCCCCACCAUUGAGGUCAUUACUUUAGGAAGGCCUAGGACAACCAUGGAAGUAAAUAGGUUAAAUACUAAAGGAAUGGACAGUUGACUAUUAUGCCAUCAGAAAAUCACAUAGAACCUGAAAUGUGUGAGAAACCAAGAAAAAAAAUCAAAUGAGUUCAUUGUCUAUUCAAGGAAGAACCCUGAUCAAAGGAGAAAGAAGUCCACUUUGCAGCAGCACCAAGAGCCUAACCCUAGAACAGAUCCGAUUUCUGUUAAUCCUCCAAAUAAAUCUGUGUUUGAGUCCAAUUCUUCCAAUUCCCAAAUUGAGUCUAUUAAUGAUUUAGAUGUUCCAAUUGCUCAUAGAAAUGGUACUAGGCAAUGUACUAAACAUCAUUUGUCCAACUUUAUGUCCUAUGAAAAAUUGCCUCAUUUUCUUCUUACAUUCACUUCACAACUUUCUAUCAUAACAUUCCUAAAAAUAUUCAGGAUGCUCUUAAUGUUUCUGAAUAGAAGGAAGCUGUUCUUGAAGAGAUGGAGCCCUUGAGAAGAACAAGACAUGGGAAGUAGUGAGUUUGCAUGAAGGAAAGUCCAUGGUUGGUUGCAACUAGGUCUUUACAGUGAAAUACAAUUCUAACAACUCUCUAGAUAGAUGUGAAGCUCUACUAGUCGCAAAGGGAUUCACUCAAACAUAUGGUAUUGACUAUUCAGAAAAUUUCACUCCAAUAGCCAACCUAAACACAUUAAGAGUGAUCUUAUUAAUUGCUGCAAAUCUGGAUUGACUAUUACAAUAGUUGGAUGUGAAAAAAUACAUUUCUCAAUGGGGAUUUGGAAUGGAAGACGAAGUGUAUAUGGACUCUCCUCCGAGCUUCACCGAAAGAUUCGGAUCAAAGGUGUACAAGCUAAGAAAGUCAUUAUAGGGACUCAAACAAUCACCUAAGGCAUGGUUUGAUAAAUUCACUUAGUCCGUAAAGAAACAAGGUUACACUCAAGGGCAAACUAAUCACACCUUGUUCAUGAAGUUCUCACCCGAAGAGAAGAUAACCACGUUGAUUGUCUAUGUAGACGAUAUCAUUCUCAUUGGCGAUAACUUGCUUGAGACAAAAAGGUUAAAGAAGGUUCUAGCUUCCGAAUUUGAGAUUAAGGACUUGGAGUCAUUGAGGUCCUUUCUUGGAAUGGAAGUUGGACAUGCCAAGAAAGGUAUCAUCGUCUCACAAAAAAAGUACGUUCUUGAUCUCCAAAAAGAAACCGGUAUGAGUAGUUGCACAUUGGUUGACACUCCUAUCGAAUAUAGCUAGAAGCUAGGAAAAAAAAAACAAAGGAACACAUGUAGAUACAACGCGAUAUGAGAAGUUGGUUGGCAAACCGAUACACCUAUCACACACUUGACUAGACAUAGCGUUUGCAGUAAACUUAGUGAACCAAUUCAUGCACUCUCAGCACGAAAAACACCUUGCGGUUGUCUAUAGGAUCAUAAGGUACUUGAAGAGUACUCUAGGAAAAGAAUUAUUUUUCAAGAAGAAUGAGCAACGAGGAGUUAAAGCUUAUAUUGAUGUCGAUUAGGCCGAAUAAUCACUAAUAAAAGAACUACCUUCGAGUACUGUAUGUUUGCAUGGGGUAACCGAUUACUUGGAGAAGCAAGAAGCAAAGUGUGGUGGCACAAAGUAACGCUAAAGUAGAGUUCAAAGAUAUGGCAUAUGGGAUUUGCAAGACGUUAUGGGUGAAACAUGUCAUAUAAGAACUAAGGAGGCCCAAUACUCUUCCUAUGAAAUUAUAGAGUGACAACAAUGAACAUGCAAUCUAGUACAACAUGACAAAGCAAAUAGAUGAUAGGCAUUUCAUAAAAGGGAAACUUAUGGUUGGUGCUAUAUGCUUGUCAUUUGUUCUUAUAAUGCAAGAGAUAGCAUACAUCCUAGCCAAGGGACACCUAAGGCCUAACUUCAAGUUUAUUGUCAACAAGUUGGGAAUGAUAGACAUAUUGAGGGAGAGAGUCAAACAUUUAGGAGUUAGAUAAGAAUCAAAUAUAAAUGAGUUAGUUAGGAAAGAAAUUCGAAUUCUUAUUUUGAAGGGAUAAGAUCUAGUUGUUAUUUUUUUGAGUGUUCUAUUUCAUCAAAUCCAAUUAGUUCUAGGUUGGUUAAAUAGUUGUUUUACUUUUACCUAUGAAUUAAAUAUUACUAAAAAAAGAUAACACCAAAUUCUGAAAACAAUUUCAUUCUUGUUAAUGUUGACAACCCUUCCAAGUACAAUGCAUGAAGGUUAGAAACCUCAAUAGAGGUCAAUCUUAGGGUCAACCCACAAGAGGAGUUUUCAGUAUUUGCCUAAAUAUUGAAGUUGUAAGUGAAGAAGUGUAGAACAAAACAAAAACAAAUAGUCACUUAAUAAAAGUUCACAUAAAUACAAUCUAGAUGUUUGUCAUGGUACAUAACAAUGAAACUUGAAUUUCAUUUAAGCUUAAUGAUAAUUAUGGAGCCUUCUUUUUUUUAGUGUUUGUGAUUUAGGUAUUCACAUAUGUCAAUCUAGAUGAUCACCCUACGGUGACUCACUUCCUUUUUCUUCUUCAGGUGAAUAAAGUAUUGUGCAUUUUAAACUUCCUCCAACUUAUCUAGUGACAACUUCUAUGCAUCAUGGUGAUGUCAGCCCCAUCAAACAACUCCAGGUCUAUCCACCACAAGAAAACUUGCAGUGCUAUUUAAUGCUCAGUACAAGUUACUUAGGGUGAUUAACCAUUGAUCUUCUAGCAAACCACCCCCUUCCAACCUCCUGCUAUAACCUCUUGUUUACAUCCAUCUAAGGCUGGCAACAGGGUGGAUUAUUUGGGGAGCUGAGCCUGCCCCUAAUGGAACAUAUAUGGGAAGGGAAGGUGAAAUCAGGGGUGAGACAGGUUUGAGGAUUUUUCUUUUUAUUUUUUUAACCCAACUUGGUUUGGGGCAGGAAAUGGUAUUCGGCCCGUCCAGCCUGAUUACACCAUGAUUUACUAAAUUUUCCUCUAUGUGUAUAUAUUUAUGAAAUCGGCAUCCUAUAAAUCCCAGAAAUCCCUCAUUUCAACCCUAGCUAGCCAUCUUCUUCUUUCUUACUUCUGCUGGUUGUUUUGUGCAACCACAGCUUCUUCAUGUUGCAAUUUCACUCUUAAAUCUACAAUUUUCAAAGUAUAUUGAUCUUUCCUUCAAAGAUUUCCCUGCAUUCUCAAAAAGGGGCCUUUAUAUCUAAUGUCAACAAAUGAAAUUUUUGGUGAAGUCAAACUAUUUUUCUCUUUGUUUCAGCAGCAGAAUAGUCUAAAGCUCUUUAACUACUGCUUCCCUGUGCUAUUGCUGCAGUGCUCUAUGCAAAUCUGGGGUAUAUUACUUAUGUGGCAACAAUUUUCAGGUGAAGGCUUCAUUUGCAUCUUGUUGAAGCAUCUCCAACCAACUCCCCUCCAAUUUCUUUGAUCUAGGAGCAAUUUCUAGUGGUGUAAUUGACUCGGCAAUGUAAAAUCCAAAAGCAACAUUGGACCUAGAGCAGCAUAUGGCAACAAAAAAGGUGGCUCAGCCAUCAAACAUGCUUGUUAUUUAUUAAAAUAGGUAUGAAGUUCAGGGUUGGCAUGGCCACUAGGGUGCCAGCUGAACUCAACCAACCCCCAACUAUUUUGGAUUAUCCACAUGAAUCCCAUUCCUUUUUUUUCCACUUUAUUUGAGAUCUUAUCUUCUUUUUUGCUCACUAUCUAUAAUAAAAAUAAAUAAAUAAAUAAAUAAAACAAAAAAAAAACACAUAAUAUCUUCUCUCAAAAUCAUAGGCCCAAUCUCAAAUCUCUCUUGACCUAUCCUAGUCCUAAAUUCUAAUGAAAUCUUAAGUUCAAACCACAUCAGAGCCUAAAAAGUAGUAAUAGGACCUCAUUCCACACGAGCAAGAAACCUUAUUGCCUCACUGGACUUACCUCUUCUUGUGAACUUUGAACUUUUUGCAGAGCUCAUUGCAAGCAAGAAACCAACCUUAUUGCCUUACAGGAGUUGCCUCUGUUAAUAAACUAUGUUCGAGCCCUGCUCCCCAUAAGACCCUCAUUUUUCUAUUUCAAUCAGCCACAUUCUUGCUACUCAUCCAUCUCAACAUUCUCAACUCAUCUAUACUUGUUUCAUGUUCCCAUUGUUUAUCAACCUCACAUCAUUCUGCACCAUAAUUCAUGGUUAUAUUCAAGUCAUAUUAGAAGUUCUUCCUUCAAUAUGACCAGUAUCUGUUGACACACAACAGCCCAUAAUCAUCACUCUGCAUCAUUUCCCCUAUCUAAAGUUAUUGAGAUCAUCAUAUUAUCUUCCCCUAACGGAUAAUCCAAACAAGAAAAUUGAAAACAGCCUGUUAGCCUUACCCAUCAUUCCCACUCCUGAAUUUACUAAGGCUCUGUUUGCCUCACUGAAAAAAUUGAGCAGAAGGAAAUGAAAGGAAAAUGCUAAAAACAAGUUCAAUAAAUUUGAAGCCAUUUUUCUUACUUUACCCUCGUUAUUCCCGAGACCCAAACCCACCCCAAAUAAAAUCUUGCUUUUAAUUUGUAAUUGUCUACCGUGGAAUUGGCGUGCACAUAAUUUAAACUGGAUUCCAAUUCCAUUCCUAUAUAAAAACCCACCAAAAAUGUGGGCUCAAAAAUUCCAAAAACCAAUUUCUGAGGAACUAAACAAACCCUAAACUCAUCCUAACCUUCCCAGAUUCAACCAAUCUCGGCCACGCCUGACAGUGAAUAGUCGGACAGUACCGAGGAAACCAAAAAUGAGAUCCGAAUCUGAUUCCAAUUAUCCAACCAUUUAUGUUGAGACUACCGUACGAUGCACACAUAUAAAAACUCUUCUAAGUUCAGUAACACUUGAUGCUCAGAUUGUGAAGAAAUGGGGACUCACUGAGAACCAGCACUGGCGCUUGCAUGACUGGAGAUUGUGGAAAACCCUAAUGGCGUCGAGAAGAUGCUUUACAGCUUCUGCGUGAAAGGGUCUUCGGAAUAGUUUGCGAGGGAAAAUGGAGUGAAGUCUGGAGCCUCCGUCGUACUGAAGUGCGUCUCGUAAACCCUAGAAUCUUCCUAUUAUAAUUAAAAUUUUAAUAACGUUAACCAAAAGCAAUGUCUAGGUCACGUGCAUUUGCACGUGAUAUACCCCACUGUUGUUGGGCUUGGAUUUUAAUUUCUCCCCACUCGGCCCAGUUUUGAAACUACUUCAAGUUAAUACCAAAUCCAGUUUUGAAAAUCUUAUGGUCCCAGGUCAGGUCAAUGUAUUAAAUUAAUAACCUCAUUAAAUACAUAAAAUAACAAUGUUUUUAAAAAUAAAUAUAAAUUAAUGAUAUAUAUAUAUAUAUACAUAUAUAUAUCAUUGCAUAUUUGAAACAUUUUAUCUUUUAAGAAAUUAAGUUUUGACACCAUCUCUUAUUUUUAGAGUCUUUUAUUUUUUACAAUUAAUAAUUAUGUUUUAUUAUGUAGAAUAUUUUAAGUUUUAAUGUACUAACUUUUUACCAUAUCUAUUGUUUUUAGAUUCAUAAAUCAUACAUGAGUAUUGUGCAAUAAACAUAUAAUAUUCUUUAUAAAUUAAUAAAUAUUUAUUUAUGGAUAAAUCAAUAACUCUGUUAAAAUAAUAAUUUUUCUUGAUCACUAUUAUUUUAUAGAGAUUUUAUUGUACCUCAUUAUUUCAUUCAUUUUAAUUAAUUUUUUCUUAAUUUUAAAAAAUAAUUUACUCUAAUUAAACUCUUGAUAAAAUAAUCUACUCCUAAUUAUCUUUAAAUUAUUAAUUAAAUUUAGUAAAGAAAUCCUAAAAACCCUUAAUCCUAACUAAGAUUUUUAUAUAUAAUUAAUUUUAAUUAUUCUUAAUAAAAUAUAUUUAUCAUAAAUAACCUCAAAAUAUCAUUAAUUAAAAUAACUAAAUAAUUUUAGAUAAUAAAAAUCAAGAUAUUAAAUAAAAAUUAAAAUAUAUUUUUCCUUUUUUAGAUUUUCCUAACCAUUUCCCAAAUCAAAUAGUAAAUGAAAGAAAGAUUAAAUCCUAAAAUUUAUUGUUAAAUCUUUAUUCACUUUCUAAAUGAAACCCUAAAUGGAAACAAAAUCUUUACAUCUCUUUUCACUUCCCAAAUCAAACCCUAAUGGGAGAAAAAAAAUCUAAAACCCCUUGACACCUAAAUUUCUUUUAAAUUUUUUUUGCAUUUCCCAAAUCAAACCUAAAUUGGAGAAAAAUAUUUGAACCCCCAAGGCUAAAUUUCCAAUUUAAAAUCAUUAUUGAGAUUAUGGCUAAAUCUUAUUUUUCAUUUCCACCAUAAACUAAAGGUGUCAAAUGGGUUGCACCACCCAGUUUGGCCCAUUGCCCAACACACCAAAAGACCCCAAUCAGGUGCCCAAACCAAUUACUAUAAUGGGUUAUGCCAGCACGACCCGUUCUUUUGGGUUGUGCUAGGCCUAAGGACACAAGUCACACAACCAAUCGUGGCAGCUCACUUGGUUAGUCCAAAUACUACUUUUUGAUUUAUUUAUUUUUCCCCUUUUGCUGGCAUGCUAAAUGUCAUAAAAUGCCUCUCCCAACGGAUAGGUAAAGCAAUCACUAUUAUAAUUUUACAUACCAAAUGUAGUUCUCAUAUCUUUUCCCCCAUUUUCAAGUAAUUUAUUGAAAUACAAUAAAAUGAUUAUAUUUUCUAAAUUUCAUUUUUUAUUAUAUUCCAAUAUUUUAAAUUUAUUAUUAUCAUGACCAACAAUAAAUUCAAACAUGAAUUUCUACAUAUAUAUAUAUAUAUAUAAAGUGUAACUAUUUAAUAUAUUUGAAGUAAUAAAAAAUAAUUCCACUUAAUUAAAAGAAUUGAAGACAAUAGAAUGACAUUAAAAAAUAAAUUAAAUAUUAACGAAGUAGGAUGACCCAUCGAAAUAAUUCAUCGUACAUCACAACACAAUUAGCCAAUACUCAUGGGUCAUGCUAGGCUUUUAGCUUGCAUGAGCUACCACAACAUAGACAAUUUUUAACAAGACCGUGUCGACCCAACAUGUUAUCCAAUGAAGGCACGCUAAAAUUGACUCGACUUCUUUGAUACCUCUACCUUAAACCAUAACUUCUAUUUUGAAUCUUUGGCCUAUCUCACAACUUUCUCUACCACUAACACAAUAACUUCAUACAAAAAGUUCAUAGGACUUCUAUUCUAUCACAACCCCAUGGUCCAAAGGUGUGUCAUAAGGUAAAAAGGUGGGCUUAACAAGAAAAAAGGAAAAUAAGAAGUGCACAAUUCAAGUAAAGAAAAAUGUGUCGCUUUAAGAAUUAAAAAAGUGUUAUAACUUAAGAAGAAAUUAAAUGAAUCACUAAAGUGAUGAGAUAGGAAGGUGGGCUAAGUUUAAGCAAGAAGAAGAAAGAUGUGUUACCCUAUGAAUAAAAGAAAUGUAAGCUAAGAAUAGUGAGGGAGAAUACACAACAUAAGUGAAGACAAAAGCAUGUUGCAUGUAACAAGAAAGGAGUGUGCUACUUUGUGAAGAAAGAAAGUUGUACUAUCCUAACUUUACUUUGCAAAUAGUUUCAUCAAGGAUGAUGAAGAGAGACAAAAAUUAGGAGGUUAGUAAAUGGUUAUGCCAUUAAUUUUGGGUGUUUUGGUUGUGGUUGGUUAAGGAAAAAAUAAAUAAAAGAGAAGAUAAACAGUUCUAUUAGAGGGGUGGGGCACGACAAAUACAAAAAGAAGUGAUCUUAUUAUCUUUUUAGCUAAAAUUGGACCUAAAACUAAUUAUUUUUAGUAUAACCUCAUAUAAAAUUUAGAUGGUUUAGUUUGAAUAGUUUUGAACACUAGAAUAGUAAAAGUAAAAGUAAUUAUUAUUAUUGUAUGAUUGAACAUAAAAUCAUUAAGAAAUUAAUUCAGAGAACAUGGUGGAUGACCACCUAACUUCUUUCUCUUCUUUUCUUUCAUUUUUUUUUUUCUGUUUGUUAUUUUUAUUAUUUUAUUUACUUUAAACUUCAUUUAUGGUCUCAUUAAAUGAAGUGUUAAUUAAUAUGCCUUUUAUAAUCUUAAGAUGAGAAGGAAAAUAGGAAAACCUGUGUUUUGGGUCGAUCAUUUAGGAAUAAUUGGGUUUUUGAAAUCCAAGAAUUGAAAAUUUAAGAUUCCCUAUUUAUGUGCAAAAUAAUAUAAUUUUUGUGCAUUUUAUGCUAAGUGGGCUUUUUAUACCCACUUUGCCCUCACCCAGUCUCCAUAUCAGCAUCCAUGUUGUUGGAAAGGUUUAAGAAAAAAAAAAUCUUAUGUUUUGGUUACAUUUUUUUUUUCUCUCUCUACUUCUUCACCACUUGAACCCGAGAACCAUCUAAAAUUUUUCACUUUCCCAAAACCUCUUCCUCUCAUUUUGCUCUAACCCCACAUAUGAAAUUUCCCUCAAAAUUUUCUCUAGAAUCCUCAAAGCCAAACUCUAACAAUUUGUUUUCUUCUUAUUCAUAGCUACACAAAAAACUCAAAAAACCCCAACCUUUGUCUCAUAUUCCUCUCAUCUCAGAACCCGAAAAACCCUAACCUUUGCCUCAUUUUCUUCUCAUCUCAGAAACCCAAAUCUCAUGACUUUAACCUCUUUUUUUCCCAAAAACCCUUCGGAAUCAUAAGAUUCAUGUGAUCGAAAUGGAGAAAAUUGUCUGGUCACAACUUCACGGUGUAGAUUCGAGGACAUGUGGAGUUGUAGGUGCUCUGUCAUUCUUUCUUUAAGGCUACAUCUAUUAGUCUCUCUCUUUGUCGCCAUCAACAAGUCAAUAUCUUCUUCUGUAGCUAUUUUGAUCAUGCUUGUAUCGUUCAUUUUGUAAUUUUGUUCUGUUGUUGUUGUUGUUUUUUUUUUGUUUUUUUGUUUUUUUUUUUUUUGUUUUUGGUUUGUUUUUGGUAUGUUGAUAAAAUUAGAUGUAGUCGGAUAAGGACAGAUGGAGUGUGUUAAGGAAUUGUCGCUAGUUGUUUGGUGGAUGAGAGAGGAAAGGAAAAAUGGGGAAAAUUUUGGCAUUUUUGUUUUUGGAUUUAUUAUUGAAAAAUUAAGGCUUAAUAAAUUAACAUAAGGUUUGUUUUUUUUUUUUUUUUGUGGGUGGUUAUUUUUUUUACAUUCUUAUUGUUUAUUUUGGAUUAUGCUUAAUUGAAGCCAUGGAUUGUUAGAGCUUCUUGUUACUAGUAAUUUUUUUAGUUAAUUUUCUAAUGCAAUGAUUCAUGCAUUGUUAUUUAAGCUUGGUGAAUGGGUUUAUAUGGCCUUGGAUCUUCUACUGUGCUCAUUCUCAUACAUUUUUAAUAGGAAUCUAGGACCAUGUGAUUUGAUUUGCUUAUUUGCUUGAUUUUUAUAGAUGAUUCACAAUAUAUAGUUACUAGAGGCGAUGAGAUCCCUAGAACUAUUUUUUGAAGAAUGCUAGAGUGGUUUUGCCAAAUUUAUGAUGUCACUAGAUAUUUAGGAUGCUACUCUUUUAAGGCUUCAAGCAUACUUAAUAAAUUCAUGCUUCAAUUUUCUAAGUGAGAAGAAAAACAUUUGUUAAAAAAAAGUUUUAAACUUUUCCAGCGUUUUUCAUCUGAUAAAUUGUUAAGAAAAUAAAUGAAAAGAUUGUGGUUGAAUUAGCUAUUGUAUGCAGGGGCAAAUGUUUUUUUUUUUUAAUUUUGAAUUCAUAUUAUCCAUUAUUUAUUUAUAUGAAUCAAUAUCUGAUAUUGUCUUUUAUUUAUCCAUGAUAUUGUUUUCUUAUAGGAAAAUAAACACAAAUUUUGUCUUUGAAUUUGUCUUUGCAAGUUUUUGAGUUCUCUUUUGCUUGACCUUUGUUUUCUUACUAACCAAGCAAAUACUUAUAAUUCAUUUUUAAAUUUUGAUACACAUUCUCUUUAAUUGCAUGCAUCCGUAUUUGGCAUUUUCGUUUAUUUACCCUUUGAAUUUUCUAAUGCAAGUUUCAAAUUUGAUUUUGUUUUUCUUGCAUAUCUCAAUAGCCAAAAGGAUUUUUUUUCUUUAAGUUCUCAUACUCCUUGCAUGCAUGACAUGCAUGAAAUUCUUUUACUCUUUUUCCUGCCCUUUUCUUUUUUUUCUAUCAUGCAUUCUCAAAUUUUUGUGUUAUUUAUUGCUUUAGUGAAAUCUCAUUUAGACUGAAUGAUUAAUUGUUUGAGGUGUUUGGUGUUCUCAUUUCAUGAUAUAAUUAUAUCUUUAUAUUUUUUUCAUGGUUAAUCGGUCCGAUCGUUGGCCGGUCACGAUUCCGAUUCAGUCCAACCAAUUAUUAUUGUUAUUAUUAUUUUAUAGUAUCAAAACGAAAUCGUUUUGGAAGAUAUAAAAACACCUUUGAAACCCUCCCUCUUGCAAUUUGAACCGUAGAAGUUGCUGCCCCCCAACGCACCGCAAUACCCAGGUUGGGGCAGCUCCCACCGACGACCUGGAAGCCUUGCAAAACCUCCCCCCCAUCGGCCGUUACAGCGUCGCCCCCUUCCCGCGCCGUUGGAAACGCCUCCUGUCGCUAUAAAGCCCCCACUCGACUACACAACCUUCCCACUCCGACCAAUAGCUGCAAAGGUUUGAUAUUUUGAAUUUUUUUUUAUAUUUUAUAUUUAAUGUGUUUUUUUUUAUUUUGUUGAUUAUGAUAUUAUGUUUAAUAUUCAAAUUUUAAUUUAUUUAUUACACAUUUUAAUUUAUUCAAAUUAUUCAAAAGUUAAAACUUAAAACAUUAGGAGGUAAAAUAAUUUGUUCAUUUUCAAAUAAGAUUUUAGAUAAAUGUUUAGUUUGAAAGUAAAUUUCUCAUUUUGAAAAAAAUUUCUUUAAUAAAUUUCAAAAUUUUUAAUUCUUUGAUUUUUUAAAUUGUUGAUGACUUUUAUUCUCUAGAUUAAUAUGAUAUUUUUAUAAAUUAUUGAUGACUUGAUUAUAAAUCAUUAAAUCGUUGAUGACUUUCAUUCUCUAGAUUAAUAUGUGAUUUUUAUAAAUUAUUGAUGACUUGAUUUUUUUUAAAAUUAAAUUGUUGAUGACUUGAUUAUAAAUCAUUAAAUUAUUGAUGACUUUGAUUCUUUAGAUUGAUGUGGGAUUUUUAUAAAUUGUUAAUGACUUGAUUUUUUUUUUUUAAAUUAAAUUGCUGAUGACUUUAUUAUAAAUCAUUAAAUUAUUGAUGACUUUGAUUCUUUAAAUUAAUGUGGGGUUUUUAUAAAUUGUUGAAGACUUGUUUUUUUUUUUAAAUUAAAUUGUUGAUGACUAUAAUUCUCUAGAUUAAUGUGGGAUUUUUUUUUUUAAAUUUGAUAGAGAAAUAAAAAAAAAAUGGAAUCAAACUUGACCCCAUCCUCUGGUCAAGAUUCAACUACCAAUUCACAAACAACUAGAAAUAAGAUCAACCAUGCAUGGGAGCAUGUUUAUGAAGAAAGAUAUACAAAUGGAAUGAAAGCUCUUAUUUGUUUGUAUUGUAAAAAUGUUGCAAAAGGUGGGGGUAUUCAUAGAAUAAAACAAAAUGUUACUGGCGUGAAAGGAAAUAUUGGCCCAUGUAAAUCGGUUCCUCAUGAUGUCAGAUUUCGAAUGGAAAAUUCUUUGCAAGUUUGUGAAUUCCAAGAAAGCAACCCAAGAAGCAUAUGAAUAUAGAAAUCCUUAUGGUCCUAAUGUGUCAUAAUUUGAAAGGGAUAUGACAGAAAGUGAAGAAAAGGUUCAAGAAAUGCAAAGUCCUAUGGCAACUAGUAGUGGAAAGAGAAAAAAAAUCAACAGUGGAUAAGUAUUUUGUACCAAGAAAUACUCAAGGAGCUUAACCUUCCAUAAGGAGUGUAUUAGCUAGGAAAAAAGCUAUUUGGAGAGCAACUAUGGUGGUUGAGAGAUUCUUUUAUGAUACAUGCAUUUCUACUAAUGCUGUGAAUUCCUUCUACUUCAAGCCAAUGUUGGAUGUUAUAUCUGCAAUUGGUCCUGGAUAUAAAAGUCCAAAUUACCAUCAGUUGCGAGUUAAUCUUUUAAAGGAUGCCAAGAAAGAAUUUUAGUUACUUGUGGACUCUUAUAGUGCAAUUUAGGCAAAAAUUAGAUGUACAAUAAUGGGUGAUGGUUGGACAGAUAAUAGACAAAGAAGACUCAUCAACUUCCUUGUGUAUUGUCCUGAAAAAAAUAUCGUUUGUGAAAUCUGUUGAUGUUUCAGACAUUGUCAAUGAUGUAAUUAAUUUGUUUCAAUUAUUUGAUGAGGUGAUUGAAUGGGUGGGUCCACUCAAUAUAGUUCAUAUAGUAAUUGAUAAUGCAGCAAAUUAUGUGGCCGUGGGGAGAUUGAUUUCUCAUAAACAUAAACACAUCAAUUGGUCACUUUGUGCAACUCAUUGUCUUAACUUGAUCUUUAAGGAUAUUGGUAACAUGAACCAUGUUGCUGAACUUGUAAGACGUGCAUCAAAUGUGACAAUUUUUGUGUAUAAUCAUGUUGCUUUGUUAAGUUGGUUGAGAAAAAAAAAAAGGAUGGACAGAGAUUCUUCGACCUGGUGCAACUUGCUUUGCUACCACAUUCAUUGCACUCAAGAGUCUUCAUGAUCAUAAACAUGACUUGCAAGCUUUGGUGACUAGCAAGUUCUUUGUGGACUCUAAAUAUUCAAGGGAUAAUAAAAGCAAAGUUGUAAUUUCUAUCAUCUUGGAUAAUAGAUUUUGGAAUGAUUGUUUAAUUGUUGUGAAUCUUAUGUCUCCACUAAUGUGCUUAUUGCGUAUUGUUGAUUGUGAUGAGAGGUCUUCAAUGGGAUAUGUGUAUGAAGGCAUUUAUAGGGUUUGUUUAGGCAUCAAGAAAUUGUUUAACUACAACAAAAGACUAUACAAACCUUAUAUAGAGAUCAUAAAGCAACGUUGGGAUCAAUAACUAAAGAAAAACAUUCAUUUAACAACUUAUUGGUUGAAUCCAUGUUUCCAAUCUGAUUAGGAAAACUAUUGUAAUAAGUCAACUGUUAUGAAAGUGUCAUGAAUGUUAUUUAUCAAAAAGUUCUAAAAAGAAAGCUUGAUACAAUGAAUGAAAUGAAGUUGUUUCUUGAUCUAUUGGGAAGUUUUGGAAGAGACCUUACUUAGUCUUCACGUAAACCCGGUAAAAGAUAAUUUUCAUUUAAUAGUGUGUUUGUUUUUUUUCAUUAGUUACCUACUUACUAUUUAAUAAUUUAAACUUGCUAAUGUUUUUUUUCUUAUUUUUAAUGUGAAAAUGGUAACUAUAUGAAUGGUAGAGGCUACAUGGAUACAGUGCACCACAUUUGCAAAAGUUGGUCAUUCAAAUAUUGAGCCAAACUACAUCGUCUUCUGGAUGUGAGAGGAAUUGGAGUGUCUUUGAACGUAUACAUACCAAAAGAAGGAAUAGAUUGGAACAUCAAAGGCUUAAUGAUUUUAUAUACGUUCAUACAAUUUGCGGCUAAAAAAUCGGUAUAAAUGUUUUCUUAGUUGUUUUGAAUUUAAAUUUUUUUAUUCACAAUUAUGAAUAAUUAUAUAUUUUUCUCUUUUAGGUUCUAAAACAAGAAAAGAAUCUAUGAUCCCAUUAACUAUGCAUGCAUUGAUGAGACCGAUUUUUGGAUAGUUGAUGAGGAUCAGCCAGUAAAGCUAGAUGUUGAAGAAUUGGAAAAUCUUUAAUAUGAAGAAAGGUCAAUUCCAAUAAAUGAAGUGGAAUGUUCAAGUUCUUACAUUGGUUAGUAGAAUAUUUAAAUUCAUUAAAGUUCAAUAAUUAUAUUUUUUUUCUUCAAAAAUGAUUUCUUGUUGAUACAUAUUCAAUAUUUUUAUAGAUGAUGAAGAUGGUGGUGGCGUGGCUAUAAAAGGGCUUGAUAUGAAGAACUUUGGUUUUCCAGAUGUUCAUUUUCAAUCUCCAUAUUCCAAUUUCCAAAAUGAAUGAAGACAUGAAUUUUAUAUUUAUUAGUAUUAAAAAAUCUUCAUGAAUAUUCAAACAUUGACAUGUUAUAUUUUGAGAAUUGUUGUAGUUGACAUUUGUAUUAUCUAUUAUGGACAAUGUGUUAAGUUAACAAUUCUUCGAUAAUUUGGUUAUUAUAGGAUAACAAUGGUUUGAUUAUUUGAUAAAUAUUGAGUUUAUUGACAUUAUAAAUAUAUAACAUUUUAUAUUGUGUUAUAGAUAUGAUAUAUGAUGAUUGAUGACUUUUACAGGUAAAAAAUUUUGUGAAAAAACUCAACAAAGAAAGUAGAUGCUGUCAAAAUUUAGAUAGAUUUUUUUUUAAUAAUAUAUAAAAUAAUAAAAAUAUAUAUUUUAUGAUAUCACCGGUUUGACCAUUAGUUCGACCAAUUAACCGUGAGCUGGUAACUUUUCCGAUUCAAUGAUCGGUCCGGUUAUGAAAACAUUGAUUUUUUUUUCUUUUCAUUUUUUGCUAAUAUAUAUAUAUAUAUAUAUAUAUAUUAUUUUAUUUUCAGAAUGUAACAACAUGGGGAGAAAAUGAUAGAAGGUAUUUGAUUUUCUUCCUAUACUUUUAAGAUAAUUGUUGCUAUUUUUUCAGUUUUAUGUUGAAUAUCUGUAACAAACAAUGACUGUGAUUUAUAGUAUACUAACUUGUAAUAAUAAUUUUGUGAGGAAUUAUCACUACUUGUAAUAACAAUUUUGUGGGGAACUAUCACUAAUAACUUGUAAUAACAAUUUUGUGGAGAACUAUCACUAAUAUUGCAAAUUCCAUUCCGAAACUGGAGAAAGCAUAAGUAAUCAAUCCCAUAUAGCAUGAAGCAUUAUGGUGCCUAGGAAAUGGCCUCACUAAUCAAGCAAUGAUGUUUUAGCGACCCGGUUGAGCUUUCUAUGACUCCAUUUUUAAACCUUUUUUUUUUUUUUGCUUAUUUGAUAACCUUUGAUCUAAUUAAUUUAAAAUUUCAUUUUAAUUACUAGUGAAUUCAUUAUUGACCAUAUGUUGUUAGGCACCAGAGAUGCAUGAAGACAUUCAUACUAAUGCAACUGAUCAACAGCUUAUAGGUGCUGCUUUUUCUAAAGCAAAUGUGAGAACUUUAGGGUAUUACUUCAUUCUGCAUGCAACCUAGGUUAACAUUCCCAUCUUUGAGGACUUUUUUUCUAUUGCUUAUAUAUGUUUCAUUUAUCUAUGUUUCUUUUAUUUUAUUUUUGCAAAGUGGUACCAAGUUGUAGGUUGUUCCUUAUUUAUUAUGUUACUGCCUAUACAAGCUUGUACCCUUACAUUUGUUCAUAACAAGUGAAAAAUUAGCAUAAGAAUUUUUAUAGCAGUUUUACCUAUUCAUUCUACACUUAAUAGUGAUCUUGAUAAUCCUACACUAUUAUGGCUAGAAGAUUUACAUGUUUUGAUUUUGACAUUAGAAUUGUUAGAUGAACAUGAUGUUAAGUAGAAACAAAACGCUAAAUUUACUUUUGGCUCCUUGGAACACAGUAGGAAGUGACAAGUUUUUGGGGUUGGUUCCUUGAGUUUCCAAGUUUAGGUUUUCUUGGAAAGAACUUAUUGUUAAUGUGUGAAUUCAUUCAAGCUAAUUAGUGUAAAAUUUUCUAGAUUUUGCAAGUGAAAGCACCUUAGCUUUUCUUAUUAUGUUUAUGUUUUACAGGUUGAUUAUGUUGUUGAUUAUCACUUCUCAAUAAAUGGAAGCAAUAGAGUCACCCUUGAAGGUGGGCAUACAGGUGUUGUUAAGAGUGUGCUUCCCAUGUCCGGCAAACAGAUUGGCACCACCCAAAGCUAAGGCAUAUUUAGAUGCAUCCCUUUUAAUUUAUUUUUUUUUCCAUAAAAUUUUUCAUUUCUUUUGAGUGGAGCAUGAAAUUUUCCAUUAGUGGUGGUGUGAAUUUUUUAUACCAUUUUUGUAUCCCUUUUAAUUUAAGAUUAGACUAAAACUUUCAUCAAGUAGUAACAGAAAAAAAAAAAAACAAUAUUGAUAAAUUGUGUUACAAUUUAUAUAAAGUUAUUCAAGAUUUACACUCCAAUUAAUUGUUGUGUGUGUGUGUAUAUAUAUUCUCGUCACUAGAUUAAACAGGAAGUUGGUGUAGGUAAUGAUAACAAUAAAGAUGGGUCUUCUCGAAGAGUUAAAAUCCAGAUUAUAUGGUCCAACAGGAUAUCAAGCAAAUGCGAAGAGCUCAAGGAGAUAAAAACUUAAUUACCUACAAUGAAAAUGCAUUCAUGAGUAACUAUAUUAUAUGAUGGGUUUUGUGUUUGUAAUUUGGUGAUUUUGAGUAAAUAGCAAUGGUCCAUAUAAUUUGUUUCAAUGUCAUAAACCAAAACCUUGCUAACCUUGGUAAAGAAAACUCAAGUUAGCCAAAAUCUCAAUGUGCCAAGACUCCAUGUAGGUUAUUUCCAAAUUUCUUGUUUUGGCCAUAUUAGCUUCUUUCUUGUCUUAUUGAAAACAAUGAUUUAAUUUCCAAUUGAAUCAUUAGAGAGUUUUAUGAAAAUAAAAUCAAUACACUCUGUAUAUUAGAAAACAUGAAGGCAAAGAGGAACUUUCUUGAAACAGUGAUAAAAUAUUAUAUAUAUAUAUAUAUAUAUAUAUAUAUAUAUAUAUAUGCAUUCAAAUAGUUUUUAAACUAGGGAAAGCCAACACAGUUAAAGGUUCUUUUAUACAAGAAAUAUUCUCUAAGAACUUGAUUUUCUAUUUCACUAAAAAUUCAAAUAAAUGGUAGCAAUACAGAAAGUCCUUAUCACCCAUAUGAAAAUUAAGGAACAUGCCAUGCCCAAGUUGGACAUUGAAAUAAUAUAUUAUAGAAUUCAAAAAUCAAUUUCACUUUUUAUACACAUGUAUAGAGAGAGAUGACAGUUCCUUUGAUGGAUUCCAAGUGCAGGUCCAAUUGGCUUUUUUUUUUUCUUCUUGAUUCCAAGUGCACAUUAUAUAUAGAGGGUUGACUCAAUCUAUACUACCAUUGAAACCUAAAUGACUAAUGGAAGUGAUACUUUCCCUAUCUUGUGCCUCUUGCAAGAGUAAAUUAGCAACCACAAAAGCUUUCUAUGAUUUUUUUUUAGGCCUUAGAUAGCAAAAUUUACAUUCUAUAUCUGCACCACAACCACAUAUAAAUUUAGAGAGUUGAGAAAAAGAACAUAUAAAUUCAUCCCAUAGCAAAAUUGUCAUAAGUCAGUGACAAAGAGAGUUGAGAUAGACCAUACAAAAUGCUUCAUAGAGUAUUUAUCCAAGAAAAAAAAUAUAUGGGAAAGAAUGUGAUGCACAAAUUCUUAAGUCCUUCACUUUGUCAUAAAAAUUUUCAGUUUAAUCCAAAAACAUGGUAUGCUGAAAUAUUUUUUGAUAAACAAACACUUUAUUAAAAGAGAAAAACAAAAAGGGCCCAACCAAAGGAUACAAGUAGUGUAAGACAACCACUAAACAACCAAGAAAAAAAGGGAUAAAACAAAUAAACCUUCAUCCCUUUAACUAGAAGCCAACCAAACGAUAAAGUCUAAUAACGACAAAAAAAACUUUAUAAAUAAAUAAUAUGGAUAAUAUAUAGGUGAAUUGUGGUACCUUUACAUUUAUGAGUGAUAAAAAACACACUAUGGAAUCCUUGAGUUGGUGUUGCACUAUUAAAUUGUUUGGAAUGAACAACCUACAAAAUAUUGACAAAACAUAUCCUUUUUUCCCAUUUCCUUUCAAAGAGAAACAACCUUAUAUUUCAUUUCCAAGCAACUUAAAGGUUGAACCACAUAAGGAAAAGAUAGUACAUAAAUUCACAAAGGUAGUACUUGAGGUUCAUAAAGGUAGUACCUAAAGUCCACUAAGGAAGUAAUUAAGACUCAUUAUGGUAGUACCCAAGGCUCACUAAGGUAGUACCCAAGAUCCACUAGGGUAGUAUCUAAGGUUGAAACAUCUAAUACUUGAGGUUCGAAAGGGAAAAACCAAUAGAAAAUGAAUGUCAUGCUCAAAUCUACCUUGGGUACUACCAUAGUGAACCUUGGGUACUACCAUAGUGAACCUUGGGUACUACCAUAGUGAACCUUGGAUACUACCUUAGUGAACCUUGGGUACUACCUUAGUAACCCUUAGGUACUACAUUAGUGACCCUUAGGCUCACAAAUGAAGUAAUUAAGUCUCACAAAUGUUCACAAAUGAAGUUUCGAAGCUUCACACAAGUAAUACCCAAGUUUAACUAUGGUAAUACCUAAGGUCGAUUAAGGUAGUACAUAAGGUUGAUUAAGAUAGUACCUAAGGUUCACUAUGGUAGUACCUAAGGUUUUACUUACAAAGGCAAUGAGUCUUCCUUCUUAUAUGUGUACUGGACCUAAUCCAAUAACAAAAACAUCACAUAUCACCACAAAAAUCUUAUCAAAAUUAGGCAUUGCAAGAACUAGUGUCAUUCUUUUAGUGUGUUUGAGCAAGUGAAAGGCUUGUUUUGCUUUAAGAGUCUAGUUAAAAUUAUCUCACUUAAGCAUUAUAGUUUGUAGCUAACUUAUCUUUCCAUAAUUCUGAACAAAUUGGCAAUAAUGACAUUAUUAUAUUGUAAUUGGUUAGUCGAUAGAACCCUUAGGUACUACCUUAAUGUACCUAAGGUACUAUCUUAGUGAACCUUAAGUACUACCUUAAUGCACCUUAGGUACGACCUUUGUGAACCUUAGGUAUUACCUUAAUGGAGCUUAGGUAGUUCGUUUGUGAACCUUAGGUAAUUAGUUUAUCAAUCCAAGGUAGCACCUUGCUCAACCAUAACAGAAUUUGUUUAGGAAAACAUGGAUUAGGUAGCAUUAGUAAGAUUUAGCAAUACGUAACUUUGAAAAAUUAUUUUUUGUUUUUGUUUUAAUUAAGUGUGUAUAAUAUUCAUGUAAUCCUUAAGAUUAAUAAGAAAGUUUUUAUAUCCAUUUUUUUAUUAUCUUCAACAUAUAUUAGAGCAUCUUAUAAAACAUGUGUGAACCUUACCCAAUUAUUGUUGCUUGUGAAAAGAAAAGAAGAAUUGAAUGAUAACCAAAAAAUCUAAUAUCAUUGGUCUUUUGAUUUAUGAAGUUUAGUUUCCCCUCUAUUUGAGGUGCCUUGGUUUCUUCCUUUGCAAUUAAGGUGUCCUAAGAUGUCAUGAGAGUUUUUAAGGGGCAAAGAGUUAAAGUUGAUUUAAGGGAUGAAAACGCACUUUUAUGGGGCAAAGAGUUAAAGUUGAUUUAAAGGAACAUAUAUUUAAUGCACAAAAUUAUAGUUGCAUAUAAAGAGUGUUAUUUAGUACUAAAAAAAAUAUAAUUCCAAGAAAAUUAUGAAUUAUUAGAGGUUAUUACUUAUAGGCCACAUUAUAGUUAGUAAGAUUAGGAUGUAUCCCUAAACAUAGACUUGGGAAAGGCCAUAGAACUCACAAUUUAAAUGAGACCAUCCCAGCUUCAAGUUUUCUUGGUCAAGCACCAUCCAAUAUCCAAUCAUGAAGUUCUCUACAUGGAAAAUUUUCUUCUACUAUAAUUCAUAUUUAAAAAAAAAAAAAAAAAGUGGGAUUAAAUAGCAAAUUUUGCAAUGGAUAAACAAUGCACUUAUGUCCAAGGGUUCCAAUAUCUCCAUCUAUUGGUUUUAUGGCUAAACAAAAUCCAACAACUCCUUACACCAUAAAAUCUAUCAUAUUAAGAUUUUAUCUGUAACAACAAUCUAUAACUAGUUUAAUUACUCCUCCAGAACUACCGCAAAGGAGACAUACAUUUAAAUAUAAGAGAUCAAUUGUUUUACACUAAGUAAAACAAUCAUUGGUAUUCAACCUAAUCUAUUGUACCAAGUUAGAAAAGGAAUUUGUGGUUAUUAAUUCUUUAAUUUGAAUCAAGGAGAUUGAAUUAUUAUUAUUAUUUUAAAAAAAACUUAAAUAGAGAAUGGAUAUUACUUUCAAAAUUAGGUAAUGAUGUAGUCCAACUCAAAAAAUGGCAUUGAUUUGACUUUAAGAAUUUCAUAAAUUGGCAAGAUUAAUGCUAGUUCACUAGUGAGACUAUUAAUCAUUACUCCAAGACUAGUGUGAUUGAUCUUGGUUUAAUUUUUUCCUUCUCAAUCCUUGAGCACAAUUUAGGGUUCAUUCCACAUAUACCCUUAGCUAGUCACUACAUAUAUUGCCAUAUUUGAUUAAACAAAACAAAACAAAAUGAAUACACCACAUAUGGACCAAAGAAUGGUUUAGCACUUCAAGCUCAGCUGAAUAAAAUCUAACAAAAUCUAAAAUUGUCACCUGAUAGCUAUGGACCAUAAAAACAUGGUUGUGAACCACAAAGUUGUUGUUUAGUGCAAACUUGAGCAUCGUAGAGAGAUUCUUUAACAACUCUUUUGAACUAUUUAAGAAAAAACCACUUGACUAUUAGCAUAGGAGGAAAAAGAAAGAGCAAAAUAAAAGAACAUAAAAAAAAAAAAAAGGAAACUUUAACUACGAGGAUAGAACCUUCUAGUUUUCAUGCCAUGAAACUCACCUGGACUUCGGGCAAAAGCCAAUCCAGAAUUAUUAUAAAAAAAAAUUUAGUUAAAAGAAUUUCAUCAACGAUCUCCAAGCCUAGUUGUUGAGAUAGGGAUUGCACAUCAUUUUUGCCUAAUGUAGGCCUAUAGUUCCAUCUAAACAAUUAGAAUGCCUUGGAAAUCAUACUAAGAAUAGAGUGAAAAAAAAGAAAAAAAAAGAAAAAGGAAUGUACCCAAUUCUACUCCCAUAAAAUACUUUGAGAAAAUAAAGAAAUUAAUUUUGGCUCCUAAGAUGUAAAGGAAAAUUAGAGUCCUUGAUAAAUUUCUUGACAACAUCUUGAAAUAUUGGUUCUAAAUGUUUUAGUAGUGCAGUUUAAAAGACUUUGUACUGAUUUUUUUUUUCCCAAGACCAAUAAGGAUUGAUUUUUUAAAGGUAAAUGACUUAAAUUCCUUUGUUAGAUGCAACAUGAAUUGUUCUUUGAAUGUAGGAAUAACCAAUAAAAUAAAAGAUGCACAUUCCUCUUUUGACCAAGUUCCGAAAAAUACUUUCUCCUAUCGUCCUAUGCUAUCUAAUUGAAUUCAACUCAACAAAACCCUUAAAGAUUGCAAGGAUAGUUAAACAUGAGCAAAAAGACAGAGAGGAAUACAAGAGAGUUUAGAUAUUUUGAUACACAUCAGUAAUAUUAAAUUGUAUCUAAAAACAUAAAACAACAAUAAAGAUGAAGAUUUGUUCAAUCAGGCAUCUGAAGCCUUUGAUAUGCAAGAAUAUAGUUUAACUGGCAUCAUAUUUCUUUUCAAAAUACAAGUGCCCUCAUCAUGUGACCAUUUCAACAUAAGAAACAAGUACUAUCCCAUCAACUUCUACUAAUAAUAUUGUCAAUUACCUUAUUAGAACAUUAAGAAUAGGUCAAAUCCUUAUUGGAGAAAGGAGGCUACAUGAGAAUGUUAAUUUCCAAAUCAUACACAGGUAGCGCACUAGACACAAGUCACAGAGCAGGAUAAGUACUUUCCAUAAUAUGUCCUGCAAGUUCAGAUUGAACCCUAUUUUUGAGACUAGAGAGAACCUGGUCCUAAAUGUAAAACUCAUCAAGACACAAUUCAAUUAAAUUCAAUUAGGUUGUCCUUAUCAUUGAAACUCUACAUAGUUUAACACACAAACAGACUCAUAAAGAGUGCAAACCUCAUUACCUCAUACCGAAGCAAUAGAACAAAAAGACACAUCGUUCCAACAUAUUUAAAACCAAAUUUCAAAAUUUUGAUAUGUUGUUUCUAGUAAUACUAAAACAUGAUGUAAUAACUUGACCAACAGGCGUUUGGGUAUCAAAUUAUGAACACCAGGAUUCCUUAUACGAUUCUCAACUCUCAAUUUACAAAACUCAAUGAGCAUUAUUCCGUAGAUGCUUUAAAUUUAAGCAUAAAUUGCAAAAUAAAGUAGGGUUUUGGCAAAGAAAGUACCCGAUUAGUGUGAAGAAUAGGAGAAAUUGAACAAGUUGUGGUCUGAGUUGCAGACAAACCUAUAGACAGAGAAACAAAGAAAGAAGUGACAUUGAUCUACCCAUGAUUCAUUUUCAUCGUGAUCCAAAAUUCCUUUCCCAUCUUCCACUCCUUGGUUGUAGGCCUCCUUGUCAUAGGAAACAAAAGAGAGAAAGAGCAUGCUAGUUGUAGGUGUGAGAGGUAGCAGAAGAGACAUGGACGAAGGUAGGGAGAAAGAGAGACUCGAAGAGGUUAGGGUUUUUCUAGAUUUGGGUUUUGAAAUGGAGAAAAAUAAAUGGAGAUUUUUUUUCUUUUUGGAUUUUAGUGUGUAGUGGAGAAGGUGAACAAGACAAACGUUUUAAGUUUUUUCGGUUUUUUUUUUUAAUACAUAUGUGGAGGUUGACCUGUCAAGUAAGAGAGGGCAUAUUAGGCCUUAAAAAACACCUCAACCCAAAGUGCAUGAAACCCAAAAUAUUUUGGGUUUAACAUUGUAAAAUUAGAAAUUGUAAAAGUGGGUUCUCAUUUUCAUGAUAUUUAGAUAUCAUAAGCCUAAAAACCAAACUUUCCCAGGAAAAUAUUCUCAAGUAAGAAAAAUUCUCUUCCAUUCAUUGUUUGACCAUCUCAAUUCUCCUUUAUAUAAUAUUCAUAUGUUUCUAGUUUUAUGAUAUGAUUAAUUUUAUAUCUCAACACUACAUUUUAAAAUUUAUUUCAUAAAAACUAAUGAUAGCUUUGAAAAAGAGAAAAAAAAAAAAAGUUGUUAAAAGACAUGUUUAAUAACCGUUUUCGAGAACAGUUUUUCGUUCUUCAUGACAAACAAAUAAAAAAGGACAUUUGGUAAUAAUAACUAUAUUCUAUUUUAGUUGUUUUUCUUAUUAUUUUCACUCAUUUUAUAAGGACUAUUUUAGAAAAUAAUUAUACAAGUAUAUUGAAUGAUUAAAAAUAAAGCAUAAGAUAUAAAAAUUAUUUUAAAAAUAUAUUUUAAAAUAUUAAAAAUAAGUUAAAAACAUUUUACGCUAUAAACAUCAUAAAAAUAAUUUUAAAAAAUUAUUAUAAUAAAUUAUUUUUCAAAACUUUUUUAAAAAACAAUUACCAAAGGGAGCCUAGAGCUUUGUUAAUUUCCAAAACCAAGAUAAAUACAAUGCGAAGUGUGCACCCAUAUUUAGCCUUAUCAAACACUUGAAAGUAUUACUUUAACACUUAAACCCUGGUUGCACCAUUUUAAGUUCUGCCUAUGCAUUGCAACCCAUAAAAUAUUUUACGGGAGUCGAUUUUCAGUGUGAUUACGGAUCUGAACAGAGCCGAAUCGAAAUUCUUAGAUUGAGAAGCAUUUGACCAAAUUUUACAAAGUCGCAUGCAUUUAUAUUAAGAAUCAUAUGAAAAGUAUCCAACGUUUCUAAGUUAUAUAUACCAGUAAUCUAGUCACCAUCAUUUUUAGACCAUGUAUAUAUCUGUUGGACUUGUAAACUGAAAAGGCUAUGUGGUUUAAAUUAAUUCAUUGGAAAACCCCCCUCCACCAUCUUCUACCAUGUUGCAUAUCGAAUUCAACAGCGCUCUGCUCUUCCAUAGAAAGCACACAAACCCACAACAGAUUUCAAGAAUUCAGUUAUCCUCGAAUGGUUGGCGCCAAAAAAAUCAUAAAACAGUUGAAGAAUUCAAAACCAUGGUAAUUUCUUCAAACCCAUUAGCCCCAGAACUCCACAUUUCCUCCCAUCAACAACCCUACCCUUCUAUUCCUUUCUCCACAAACCCCAACAAUGUCAUCCUACCAAUUAACCGCCGCCACCUCCUGGCUUCACUUUCUGUGGCUAUUACCCCCUUCUUUACUUCUCAACCACCGGAUGCAGGUGCUCGCGGCCUCUUCCAGAUGCCUCCGGCUCGCCUCACUAAUAGGUAUUGGGGGCGAACCCCAGAACUGUUCAUUUUUUGGGGUUUAGUGUCUCUUGGUAGGCUGAGAAAAUCAAGGAAAAGAAAAGAAAAUUGAAAUUUUUUGGUGGUAUCGGUUGUGGGGUUUUGAUUUUUUCAAGAAACGAGAACAUUAUAUCAGUUAUAUUCAAGGGUUUUAUAACGCAACACUGAGCAAUUAAGGUUUAAAAUUUUGAUUUGUUUUCUUGCCCCACAUCUUCUCAGCAUCCAAACAGUACUAUAUUAUCAUUGUUACUACUAUAAUUGUUGUUGAGGAAUUUUUAUUUUCGUGGUUGUUGGUGUGGAAAGGUACUAUUUGGUCAGGGCUGGGGAAUCGGAAUUUGAAAGCAUGGGGAUAAUUAACACGAAUCCAGUUGCCAAGACCUCAGUGGAUAGUGGGUUAUCGGAGAGAGGGAAGAAGCAGACAGUGAGGGCAGCUUUUGAAUUGAAGGCAAUGAAGGCUUGUGAAGGGAGCUGCUGGAUAUGGCCUUCUAUUACCCAGAGAGCUUACCAGGCCGCAGAGAUCAUUGCUUCCGUAAACGGGGUCACCCGGAGGUGUGUGAAUCUAUAUUGAAUUGAACAAAAAAAAGACGAGGGUUUUGGUGCUUAUGUGUUUGGAUAUGAAACUAUGGACGUAGAUAGUUCAUUUGGGUGUGGCAGAAAUGCAGUUGUCUGGGAGAAAUUGUGAUUUUGGAUCUUCCUUGUAACACUAAUUGUCCCCAAGAAAGCAAAAUCUCCAUUCAAUUGAGCCUAGUAUUUAUUUGGCUUAUUUGAGUUGAGAUUUUAUCUUUGGGAAAUAUUAAAAAAAAAAAAAGAAAAAAAAAAAAGAAGAAGAAAGGAAAAUGUAAGACGAAAUCAUCUUUCUUGUUCUUUUAUUUCUGUUUCCCUAGCAGCUAAAUGGGGGCUGUGAAUUUGAACUAUUUCCUUGCUUAGUUUUUUAUAUUCAAGUUCUGAUUUUAAGAGUAGUUUAGGAGGGUAACAGCAUCACAAGAAUAUGUCGCCUUAAUUCAUAACAGUCUAUCCUUCAAACUUCUAACUUUGUUUGCUGUGUUCACUGGUUGCAGUUUCAUAGUUCCAGAGUACAGCUUUCUGGAUGCCCGUGGACUGGGAGCUUUUGAAGGCAAGAACUUGGAAUCUGUUUCUGAAGUAAGAUUUCCAUCCUUUCCUUUUGUAGGCAUGUUGUGAAAAUAUAUGGUUUAUUAAUAUGGAUUAGUUGUGUUUAUAUCCUUAAAAUUCAGUAUCCUUAACAUUCCCUACUUGCUUGCAUGAACAUGCCUCAGGUGUAUGCAUCUGAUAGUAUUUCCCCGAGCAUCAAGCCACCUCCAAUUAAUGAUGGAACCCCAAAUGAGAGCGUUGAAGAUGUGUUUGUUCGUGUGACACAGCUAAUGUCGAUUCUUGAAACCCAGUACUCUGGGGACACGGUCAUCAUCGUCUCACCAGAUUCUGACAACUUAACAGUCCUACAAGCUGGUUUAGUUGGGCUUGAUUUUCGAAGGUAUGUGGGACCAUAAAGUUAAUUAUUUAUUGCAAAGAAUGAAUUAGUCUUCAAACAUUUCAAGUUAGUUACCAUGAUAUAGAACAUAAUAAACUUUUCUUUUGGUAAUUUUACUUUAGUUUUUUUUUUUUCACAGGCAUAGGGAUCUUUCUUUUGGUCCUGGUGAAGUCAGAUUUGUCGACAUCAAUAGUAUACCUACUUACAAGCAACCUGCAUCUGCUGUAUAUAAGUGUCUAAAUCCACCAAGCUGUAGGUGAAUCCAUUUUCUUCUUGAAUUUAAUGUAUACCCUGAAUUACCCUCUAAUUAAUAUUUGCAUGGGGCAUCUUCUUGAUUGUACAGCAGUGCNNNNNNNNNNNNNNNNNNNNNNNNNNNNNNNNUGGGGCAUCUUCUUGAUUGUACAGCAGUGGGUUCGUUCCAUCUAAUCAGUAAGAUUACUUCCUAUGCUGGGAAGGAAGGAGCAUCCUGUAUAUGUAUGCAUGUGGGACUUGUACCUAGUGGAUGACUCCUCAAGAGAGUUUAACAAUACAAUUUACCAAACCUUGAGAAGGAGCUAGACUUGUGUUAUUAUUUUGGCAGCAGAACUUCUCUAGAUGUCUCAUUUGGAAAGCCUCCAUUUCAGAACAAACUUGAGGUCAUGGAUUUGGUAGCUUUAGGCUGUGGCUUCUUACCUGGGAGGAACUGGACAUUCUACCUAGGUUCAGUGUGCCACUAGGUGAUGGGGGAAUUGCUCUCUAGGAUCAUAUGAAGAGCAUGAGUUUUAAUAGAUAUUGGAAGGUGCCCUUUGGUUUGGGCUAGGGAGCCUGAAUUUGAAAGCUUAAUAUUCAAUGCCAACCUGAGUUGCCAGUGGGUUUUCAGAAAAAGGGAACAAGCAGAUGUUUACUGUGGCUUUUACAUUGUAAGGUAAUUGGUUAUGAAGGGAGAGUGCUAACAUGGACACAAUUGAAGGUGGGCAAUUUUUACCUAAUCAAAAGUUUAGGGUUUUCAAUUUGGAGUUUUGGAUUUCAUGUUCUGUGGCAUGAAAUGGAUUUUAGUGCUCUGUUUAGCUGCUGAUAGGAAAACAAAAUAAGUUAAAAUUUUGAAUCUUCUAGAGUUCAUCAUGUAGAUAAAACAAAACCUUUCCCCUCCACCAACCUCAAUAGAAAAGGUGGGUUCUUGAAUCGAUUUCUUCAUUCUUGGAAGCUCUUAUGUCAACUUUGACCAUCUCAUUUAAAAAUCUGUUAAUGUCCGCCCAUUAAGAGUAGGUCAAACCUUCUAUGAUAUUCGCACACACCUCAUGGGCCUGUUCUAAGGGUCAGCAUUUGGAUGACUGAUAUUAGGAUUUAACUGACAUUGUUGCAUCCCAACAGAAACAAAACAGCAUAAACUAUCGGCGUCAGAGGCUAAAUCAAUCUUUGUUUUCUUGUUUCUGCUACCCUUUUAAAAGGAAAAUUUUUACUCAUUAGUUCAAAGCUUAUUUUUUCGAAUUUCUAGAGCUAUUCUAACCUGGAAAGCAAUCAGGGACGACAAUGGUAUUGCAAGUGUCCAUGCAAGCAAUUCCCAGCUUGGCUUGCUGUGAUUUAUAUCUAUGUAUGCAUCCAACCAUCUAUUUCUCCAAGGAUCCAGGCACUUCACUUUGAUGACAGAGCCCCCAUGACUAUUGGCACUAGUGUACCAAGACAAUCCAGCUCUGACGUAGCAUGCUCUGUUACUGCUAUCCAACAAAGAAACUUUACUGAAUGGUGCUUUCCACACUGCAUUAGCCCAUUCCCAGCGGCAGAUUAGGACAUUGUAUUGAUCUUCAUGGGUUUAAAGAAAUCCAUACAUACUUUAUAUAUAAUAUCAAAUUGUCACGCCCAAGACCCACUCCAAGGGCGUGACUGUCAUUUCACACUUUAAACCCGAAGGCUUACAAUGUAACCUGACCCAAACAAUUAUCUUGUAAUUGGAAGUUAUCAAUUACCAAAUACCUGUUCAGAGUAGCGGAACAAAAUCUAAAACCCUCAAAAUUCAAUUUCAAAACUAAAACAUCCACUAUCCAAAAUUCAUUGUCCAAAUAUUUGCAAACUUAAACAAUUCAAGUACUAGAACAAAUUUCAAAAUCUCCAAAAUUCAACUUUGAUCUAACAUAAAAUUUGAAGGAUCAAUAUCCAAAUAACUCCCAAAUACCAAAGGAUCCAAAUGAACAUAACUAACAGUUAAACAAAAUCCAACAUAAAAUCCUAAAUCGAAUCCUAAUGAUGACCAUUCCUCAGCCCAGCCAUCACUCCUCACCCGAACUAAGAGUACCUGAAAAAUUUUCAACAAUUGGGAAUGAGCUCACAGCCCAAUAAGGAAUAUUAAUACAGUUCAUGGAUCAAAUAUUUUCAUUUCAAAUAGGAGAUAUCAUUUUUUUUUUUCAUCAAAUAUCAGAGUUUUAAAAAUACCAAUAUAUUCAAAAUUCAACCAACCAUUUUCAUAUCAAAUUCAAACACUUUCACAUAAGAUUCAAUCAAAUUCAUUCAAUUUUCAUUACUCUGGUUAUCAAAUAUCAAAUGCCCAGUUAGGUGGGACUUUUCAAAUGGGUGGCUAGCCUCAAAUUGUUCCUGGUGGACGGAACCAAACACUAUUAGUACUAGUAACCUCUAACCAAACCCCUAGAGACUGGGGUCCAAAUCAAUUACAUUCCCACCAUGAAAUGUAAAGGUCAACUAUUAUAUCCCGUUGAUAGGGCCGAAUAGUCAACUAUUAUAUCCCGUUGACAAGGGCCAAAUCAACCAGAGUGAUGUUUUUGUUCAAGUAUUCAAAUUUACACAACAUAAUAUCUCCAUAUUUUGUGUCAUAAAUAAAACAAAAUAUUCCAACAUAAUAUUUAGUACAAAACAGUUUGAUCCAUGCAUGGUAACAAAAUAUCAUUUUCUUUUCCACAAUUUAAAAUAACAUAUAAAAUAAUUUAAUUUUAUAAAUAUUGUAUUAACUUCCCUUACCUCAAAAAAAGUCCUCAAAAACUUUGGAGAAAAAUAAUCUUGAAAAUCUACUCUUCACCUAACAAAACAUAAGAGGAAUAAUUAUUACUAUUUAUCUAAAAUUAUAGGUUUGACAAUCCUAAAAUUUUAGGCAUUCAAAUUAUUAUUAUUUUUUUAUAUAUUUAUGAAAGGUAAUUUAAUUUAUUCAUAUUUUAAAAAUUAAUAAAUUUCUAAUUCAUAUAAAAUUGAAUUUAUUUAUUUAUUUUAAAAUUUAUUUCUUGGGACAUAACUUAAUUAAAUUAUAAUUUAUUUCAAUAAUUAAUUUCUAUAUUAUUUAUUAACUUACGCUCAUAAUUAUAAUAUAAAAAAAAACUUUACUUCCUUUUUAUUUAAAACUUCUAUUCUCUCAUUUUUAUUUUUAUUUUUAAACAUAAACUUUAUUCCCAACAAUACCUCAUUAUUGCCAACAAACAAUAGACAUAUGUAUAUAUAUAUUAACUAAGAGCACUCUUCCUCCAUCCGUACACACACCCACACCCCAUAUAUAUAUUAUAUAUAUAUAUUUUUUUUUUCAUUCUCCAUUCCAGUGAGCACACGCGUCCUCCAUUUUUUUUUUCUUUCUCCAAUUCUACAGCGUGCACACGCAUCUUCCAGGUUUUUUUUUUUUUUUUUCUAAAAGCUUAAGAAUUUCCAAUUUCCAACAAUAAAUCAAAAUCUUAAAUUUUUCACUAUUUUGAUAUUAAAACGAAAUAAUAAUAAUAAUAAUAAUAAUAAACUAACCCUAAUCUAAAUCGAAAUCUUCACAGGAAUCUUUUUUUUUUUUCUAAUAAAAAAACUUAAGAUCUCCCCAAUUCCAAUAAUAAAUCAAAAUCUUAAAUUUUCACUAUUUGAUAUUAAAACGAAUUAAAAAAAUAAUCUAACCCUAAUCUAGAUUUGGGGUUUUCCAAAAAAUAUAUCUAAUGUGUUUGAAAUUAACUAAUAAAUCUAAAAUAAUAAUCUAGGGGUUAGAAACUUACCUAUAGAGGUUUGUUCUUCAAACCUUGAAAUCUGACCUCAACUUCACGUUCUCUGGAAACUCUCCGCGAACAGGAAUACGAUUCAAAAAAAGAACAGGAAGAAGAGAAUUUUCUAUUUAUACCUAGGGUAUUAUUCGUAAAAUUACUUUUUCACCCCUCUUCUAUUUUAUUUAAUUUAUUAAUUAAUUAAUUUAAUAUCAUUAUUAAGAAUUUCCUAAAUUACCCUUUAAAAAGAAAACUUGGACGUUAUAUCCUCCCCUCCUUAACAAAAGUUUAGUCCUCUAAACUUGACAUACCUGAAUCUUGAAAUAAGUGAGGAUGCUUUUCUCUCAUCUCUUCUUCUAACUCCCAAGUGGCCUCUCGGAUACUAUGAUUGCUUCACUGGACCUUUACCAACUUGACAACAGCAUGUCGUAGUAUCUUAUCCAUCACAUCCACAAUUUGAACGGGUACCUCUUCAUAGGUCAAGUCCUCAAAAAUUUGAAUAGGCUCCAACUCCACAACAUGAGAGGAAUCAUAAAUAUACUUCCUUAGAGUCGAAACAUGAAACACAUUAUGAACCUUAGACAGGCUUGGGGGCAAGGCUACUUUAUAUGCCAAAGUGCCUACUCUUUCUAAUAUUUCAAACGGACCCACAAAAUGAGGACUAAGUUUUCCUUUUCUCCCAAAUCUCAUUACAGACUUCAUAAGUGAAACUUUCAAGAACACAUGAUCACCCACCUCAAACUCCAAAUCUCGCCUACGAUGAUCAGCAUAACUCUUCUGUCUACUUUGAGCUGCUUUUAAUCUUUCUUUAAUCAAAGCAACUUUUUCAACAGUCAACUGCACAAGUUCAGGCCCCAAAAGUUUCCUUUCUCCAACAUCAUUCCAACAGAUAGGAGAUCGACAUUUCCUACCAUACAAUGCCUCAAAAGGUGUCAUCCCAAUGCUAGCUUGAAAACUAUUGUUAUAGGCAAACUCUACUAAAGGUAAAUGAUCAUCCCAAUUACCUUGCAGGUCCAAAAUACAAGCUCUCAACAAGUUUUCUAAAACUCGAAUUACCCUUUCUGAUUGGCCAUCAGUUUGAGGAUGGAAAGUAGUACUAAAACUCAACUUAGUGCCCAAAGCUUUUUGUAGACUAUGCCAGAAUCUAGAAGUGAAACGAGGAUCUCUGUCAGACACUAUAGAAACUGGUACUCCAUGCAUUCUCACAAUCUCCUUCACAUAAAGAGAAGCUAAACGAUCUAAAGAAAAGUUGACUUUCAUAGGUAAAAAGUGAGCAGAAUUUGUCAACCGAUCAACAAUCACCCAAAUAGCAUUAUUACCCCCUAAGGUUCUUGGCAAUCCUAUCACAAAAUCCAUGGUAAUAUGCUCCCACUUCCACUCAGGAAUAGCAAGUGGCUGCAAAGACCCUGCUGGUCGCUGAUGUUCAGCUUUCACCUGUUGACACACUAAACACUGAGCCACAAAUUGUGCAAUAUCACGCUUCAUACCUGACCACCAAUAGUUUUGCCUCAAAUCCUUGUACAUCUUUGUCCCUCCUGGGUGGAUUGCAAACUUGGAACAAUAAGCUUCCUCUAAAAGCUCCCUCCUUAAGUUUUCAUCAUUUGGGACACAAAGUCUAGUCCCAAAUCUCAAGAUCUCAUCAUCUGACAAAACAAAAUCAGGCUUACUGCCCCUCUUAACUUCCUCCAUAACUUGCACUAAUCGGGAAUCAUUCUUUUGUAGGGUCUUAAUUCUCCCAACUAAGUCUGGUUGUACUCUGAAAUUUGCUACAAGUGCUCUUAAGCCCAUAACUCGAAAGUGGACUUGUAAACUCCUCAACUCUUCAAGUAACUGCCUUUGACAGCCUCUAAUAGCUGCUAGAGAACCAACUGACUUCCUAUUCAAGGCAUCAGCUACAACAUUCGCCUUCCCAGAAUGAUACUGAAUAAUACAAUCAUAGUCCUUAAGUAGUUCUAUCCAUCUUCUCUAUCUCAUGUUCAACUCCUUUUGGGAAAAUAGAUACUUCAAACUCUUAUGAUCUGUGAAUAUCUCACAAGUUUCACCAAAAAGAAAAUGUCUCCAAAUCUUAAGUGCAAAAACCACAGCAGCUAACUCCAAAUCAUGAGUAGGGUAGUUCCUUUCAUAAGGCUUCAACUGUCUAGAAGCAUAAGCUACAACUCUCCCAUGCUGCAUAAGAACACAACCUAAACCCUGAUGAGAGGCAUCACUAUACACCACAAAUCCUCCUGAACCUGAAGGGAUUGUCAAAAUAGGAGCUGACACCAAUCUAUUCUUCAACUCUUGGAAGCUACAUUCACAAUCAUCAGACCACUCAAACUUAACUCCCUUCUGUGUCAACUUAGUUAAAGGUAGGGCAAUCUUAGAGAACCCUUCUAUAAACCGCCUAUAGUAACCAGCAAGUCCCAAGAAACUUCGAAUCUCAGUUACAGUACUAGGUUUUCUCCAAUUAGCUACAACAUCUACCUUGCCAGGGUCAACUGAGAUGCCAUCAAUGCUUACCACAUGCCCAAGGAAAGAAAUUCGGUCUAACCAAAACUCACACUUCUUCAGUUUAGCAUACAACUGCUUAUCUCUGAGGGUCUGUAAUACAAUACUCAAAUGGCCCUCAUGCUCCUCUCUACUUCUUGAGUAUACCAAGAUGUCAUCUAUAAAAACCACCACAAACUGAUCUAAAUAGGGUUUGAAUACCCUAUUCAUCAAGUCCAUAAAAGCAGCAGGUGCAUUAGUCAAACCAAAAGGCAAAACGAGAAACUCAUAUUGCCCAUACCUAGUUCGAAAGGCAGUCUUGGGUACAUCUUCCCCUCUAACCCUCAACUGGUGAUAACCCGAUCGAAGAUCUAUCUUAGAGAACACACAAGCACCUUGUAGCUGAUCAAACAAAUCAUCAAUCCGAGGAAGGGGAUACUUAUUCCUCACUGUCACCUUAUUCAACUCCUUAUAGUCAAUGCAAAGUCUCAUUGAGCCAUCAUUCUUUUUCACAAAUAGAACAGGAGCUCCCCAAGGUGAAACACUAGGCCUGAUAAAACCCUUGUCUAAUAACUCCUGAAGCUGAACUUUCAACUCCUUAAGCUCCACAGGUGCCAUCCUGUAUGGGGCCUUAGACAUAGGACUUGUUCCUGGUACCAAAUCGAUGGUGAACUCCACCUCUCUCUCUAGUGGCAAGCCAGGCAAAUCCUCUAGAAAGACAUCAGGAUACUCCCUUACUAUGGGUAUGUCUUCCAACUUCAAAUCACUUUCAUUACUCAUCACACUAGCCAAAAAUCCUUGGCAACCCUUCUUAAGCAAGCUACUAGCUCGCAAGGCUGAGAUCAUACGCAGUGGUCUGUCCACAUGCUUCCCUUCAAAGCUAAACUUAGGCUGACCAGGAAUACUAAACGUCACCCUUUUCUCAAAACAGUCAACAGAGGCAUGGUAGGAAGCUAACCAAUCCAUCCCCAAAAUCACAUCAAAAUCCUGAAGGUCAAGGAGUACUAAGUCAACUGGCAUUUCCCUAUAUCCAAUCAUCACAAUACAAUUUCUAAGCAUUCUAUUGGCCACAACAGAAUCUCCCACAAGAGUAGCAACAAUCAAAUCAAAGUCCAUGCUAGCAACAGGCAAACCCAACAAACCAGCAAAAGAUACUGAAACAAAAGUGUGUUGAUCCAGGAUCAAUCAAGACUCUAGCAAAUAAGGUGUGGAUUCGGAGAGUACCUGUCACCACAUCAGAAGUGGCCUAAGCAUCUCGAUGAGUCAUAGCAAACACCCGUCCUUGGGCUUUGGGUUUAUGUUUAUCCUCCUUAUUUUCCUCUUUAGGCUUCCCAGUGAUGAACUUCCUAUUCUCCGGAAAAUCUCUGAUCAAAUGUCCUUGCUUCCCACAACCAAAGCAAGCUCCAGUCUCUCUAUAGCAUGGCCUACCCCCAUGCUUCUUACCACAAGUAGGACAAGCCCCAUCUAAAUUCUGCGCUGUCUUCCCUUUAUUCUGAUUUCUUCCUGAUGUAGACCUUCGCUGUGCUUGAUUACCAUGAGCACCAUCACUCCUAUUUCGCUUCCUUUGUUGUUCCCUAUACUGAUGAAGCUCCUUAUUAUCUUUCUCUGCUAUAAGGGCUCUGUCAACAACCUCUGAAUAGACACCAAGCUUCAGAAUAGAUAUCUUGUUCUUCAAAUAAGGCUUCAAUCCAUCCUGAAACUUUAAUGCCUUUUCCUCCUCUGUAGCAAUCAACUGUGGGGAAAAACAUGAUAACUCUGUAAAUUUGGCCUCAUAUUGAGCCACAGUCAUAUCCCCCUGUUCCAAACGAAUAAACUCUCCCACCUUCUGCCGCCUAACACUGUCAGGGAAAUACUUCUUGUAGAAAGCCUCCCUAAAUUGUCUCCAUGUUAUGGGUCCUUGAUCCUCCAAAAGUCUCCUAGUCAUACGCCACCAAUGAUCUGCCUCUUUAUCUAACAUAAAAGCUGCAUAAGAGGCUUUUUGCUCCUCAGAGCAAUCUAUGACACCAAAGAAUUUCUCCAUCUUAAGGAUCCAAGCCUCUGCCUCUGUGGGAUCUGUAGCACCAGAAAAGUAAGGAGGACCCAAUUUCUUGAAGUCAUCAAAAGAGCUACCCCUAGAAGAUGAAGACUGUCCCUGAACAUUAGUCCCAACAGCUCGAGCUUGGCGUUCAACUAAACCAGCUAGUGUCCCAAGAUACCUAUAGAUCUCUUCUGCACUCACAGGAGGCAAACCCUCAACUGGAGGUACAUCAUUAUUAGCCUGACUGUUUUGUGAAGAAGUUGCUCUUCUUGGUGGCAUGAUGUCCUAAAAUAAUAAGGCAUAACUAAAUUAGUCAUUAAAGAACCAAUUAGAAAAUUUCCAAAUAAAGAAAGAAUUGGAAUUUAUACUAAAUGAAACUAAAACUUAAACAAAUGCGUCACUCAUCUAUCCCCAAUCUAAACCAAUUCAAAUUCCCAUCAAGAUCAAAACCUAGUGCUCUGAUACCACUCUGUCACGCCCCAAGACCCACUCCAAGGGCGUGACGGUCAUUUCACACUUUAAACCCGAAGGCUUACAGUGUAACCUGACCCAAACAAUUAUCUUGUAAUUGGAAGUUACCAGUUACCAAUUACCAAAUACCUGUUCAGAGUAGCGGAACAAAAUCUAAAAUCCUCAAAAUUCAAUUUCAAAACUAAAACAUCCACUAUCCAAAAUUCAUUGUCCAAAUAUUUGCAAACUUAAACAAUUCAAGUACUAGAACAAAUUUCAAAAUCUCCAAAAUUCAACUUUGAUCUAACAUAAAAUUUGAAGGAUCAAUAUCCAAAUAACUCCCAAAUACCUAAGGAUCCAAAUGAACAUAACUAACAGUUAAACAAAAUCCAACAUAAAAUCCUAAAUCGAAUCCUAAUGAUGACCAUUCCUCAGCCCAGCCAUCACUCCUCACCCGAACUAAGAGUACCUGAAAAAUUUUCAACAAUUGGGAAUGAGCUCACAGCCCAAUAAGGAAUAUUAAUACAGUUCAUGGAUCAAAUAUUUUCAUUUCAAAUAGGAGAUAUCAUUUUUUUUUUCAUCAAAUAUCAGAGUUUUAAAAAUACCAAUAUAUUCAAAAUUCAACCAACCAUUUUCAUAUCAAAUUUAAACACUUUCACAUAAGAUUCAAUCAAAUUCAUUCAAUUUUCAUUACUCUGGUUAUCAAAUAUCAAAUGCCCAGUUAGGUGGGACUUUUCAAAUGGGUGGCUAGCCUCAAAUUGUUCCUGGUGGACGGAACCAAACACUAUUAGUACUAGUAACCUCUAACCAAACCCCUAGAGACUGGGGUCCAAAUCAAUUACAUUCCCACCAUGAAAUGUAAAUGUCAACUAUUAUAUCCCGUUGACAGGGCCGAAUAGUCAAUUAUUAUAUCCCGUUGACAAGGGCCAAAUCAACCAGAGUGAUGUUUUUGUUCAAGUAUUCAAAUUUACACAACAUAAUAUCUCCAUAUUUUGUGUCAUAAAUAAAACAAAAUAUUCCAACAUAAUAUUUAGUGCAAAACAGUUUGAUCCAUGCAUGGUAACAAAAUAUCAUUUUCUUUUCCACAAUUCAAAAUAACAUAUAAAAUAAUUUAAUUUUAUAAAUAUUGUAUUAACUUCCCUUACCUCAAAAAAAGUCCUCAAAAAUUUUGGAGAAAAAUAAUCUUGAAAAUCUACUCUUCACCUAACAAAACAUAAGAGGAACAAUUAUUACUAUUUAUCUAAAAUUAUAGGUUUGACAAUCCUAAAAUUUUAGGCAUUCAAAUUAUUAUUAUUUUUUUAUAUAUUUAUGAAAGGUAAUUUAAUCUAUUCAUAUUUUAAAAAUUAAUAAAUUUCUAAUUCAUAUAAAAUUGAAUUUAUUUAUUUAUUUUAAAAUUUAUUUCUUGGGACAUAACUUAAUUAAACUAUAAUUUAUUUCAAUAAUUAAUUUCUAUAUUAUUUAUUAACUUACGCUCAUAAUUAUAAUAUAAAAAAAAAACUUUACUUCCUUUUUAUUUAAAACUUCUAUUCUCUCAUUUUUAUUUUUAUUUUUAAACAUAAACUUUAUUUCCAACAAUACCCCAUUAUUGCCAACAAACAAUAGACAUAUAUAUAUAUAUAUAUAUAUAUAUAUAUAUAUUAACUAACAGCACUCUUCCUCCAUCCGUACACACACCCACACCAUUAUAUUAUUUUUUUUUUUUCAUUCUCCAAUUCCACUGAGCACACGCGUCCUCCAUUUUUUUUUUUCUUUCUCCAAUUCUACAAUGUGCACACGCAUCUUCCAGGUUUUUUUUUUUCUUCUAAAAGCUUAAGAAUUUUCAAUUUCCAACAAUAAAUCAAAAUCUUAAAUUUUUCACUAUUUUGAUAUUAAAACGAAAUAAUAAUAAUAAUAAUAAUAAACUAACCCUAAUCUAAAUCGAAAUCUUCACAGGAAUCUUUUUUUUUUUUUUUAAUAAAAAAACUUAAGAUCUCCCCAAUUCCAAUAAUAAAUCAAAAUCUUAAAUUUUCACUAUUUGAUAUUAAAACGAAUUAAAAAAAUAAUCUAACCCUAAUCUAGAUUUGGGGUUUUCCAAAAAAUAUAUUUAAUGUGUUUGAAAUUAACUAAUGAAUCUAAAAUAAUAAUCUAGGGGUUAGAAACUUACCUAUAGAGGUUUGUUCUUCAAACCUUGAAAUCUGACCUCAACUUCACGUUCUCUGAAAACUCUCUGCGAACAGGAAUACGAUUCAAAAAAAGAACAGGAAGAAGAGAAUUUUUUAUUUAUACCUAGGGUAUUAUUCGUAAAAUUACUUUUUCACCCUCUUCUAUUUUAUUUAAUUAAUUAAUUAAUUAAUUUAAUAUUAUUAUUAAGAAUUUCCUAAAUUACCCAUUAAAAAGAAAACUUGGGCGUUACACAAAUACAUCUAUAUGCCUUGCAAAUACUCAAAUACGUGUCAAGAUAAAACUCUAACAUGACAGAUAUCUCUAGGCCAUGCAUCAGCUAAUCGGAUUACUGGAGCCCCAGUGGCCACUUUUUUUUUUAGGUCAGCUGUGGAAGUAUGUGUUGGCGUAGCAUCAGAGGGCCAGCAAAGCUGACGGAAUGUCCAAGGUCGGCAGAUAUAGAUUGGGUGACUUACAUCAAAUGUUUUUAUAUUCUUAUUGUCGAGCUAUCUAGAUAUAUAUGCCCUUUGCAGCUUCCAAAGUACUAUUGGAGGUAGUUUAGUUUAAGCCAACCCCCUUUUGAAUGUGUGCUCUCUGAAUAAUAGUGUCGGGAUAGGAUCCGCAUCCGUCCAAGUAUAAAUUCAUUUUCGGUCCACGUAUAUGACGGACAAAGGGUUAUUUGGACCGUAUCUAUAUUCAUUGCGUAAAAUAAUAAAUGUUUUGAACCAUUACGAUAAAAGCGAUCAUGAAUAUAAACGUUUGACUUUACGUCCAAAAGUUGUUUUUCGUGUAGUCAAUUAUUAGUAUUUAAAGCAUUAAAAAAGUACAUGAAAUGUUGUAACUUUGUCAAAAUAAAUAGUCAUUAAACAUUAAAUUCAAAUAUGACAAAAGUUUAUUAAAAAAGUCAUAACUCGUUUCUUCCAAAAACUAACUUCAAUUUUUUUUUAAAAAAAACUAACUUAAGUUUCGAAGGAAUUUGCCUAGAAAACAAUCCGAACACACCUUAUUUUAAGUACACUCACCUUUCGAAGCUAGUAAAAAAUGAUAUUGUUAAGCAUGCACCAACACUAGUUACAAUCUUACUCGCCAAUAUGCUAAUUAAAUAGAAAAUUUCAAUAACACAACCUUAUUAUCAAUAACAUGCUAAUUAAACAAAAAAAUUUCAAUAACACAGCCUUACUAUCAAUGGGAUUUAAUUUUCAUAUUUAUUUAAAGUUUUGUCUUUGAUGGCCUUUUCAAAUAUCAAUAAUGGUAUUUAAUAAUCAAACAUAAUUUGGAAUAAUCUUUCAAUACAACUCUAGAGUGUACAUUUCAUAGUUUUAUUUUUUUUAUUCAAUUAAUUCUUUUAUAAAAUAUUAAAAUAUAAUUAUUUUAAUUUUGAUAUCUAGAUUUUUUAUUAUAGAGUAAAUAUAUGCACAGAGUUACAUGAAGUUAUAAUAUUUUUUUAAACACAAAUACCUAAAAAUGCUUAAAAUUUAAAAAUUUUUGUUUUAUUUUUUUAUAAAAUAAUGAAAAAUUAUAUAUAAUAUUAACUUUAUUACCUAGUGAUCCACAUAGCAUUUUUCUUUUCUUUUAAGAUACUGAUUUAUUUUGAUGCACAAAUGUCUUGUUUUAUAAAAGUCAAUAGGCAAUUAGACAUCCCACUGAAUUUAUUUAUCUUAAAUCAAUCACCAAUUUUCAAAAUGAUGCACCUUUGUGUAAAUUAAUGAUAAAUUGUUUCUUAUCUGGUAGUAUUGCAUGGAGAUGUACAUUGAAAAAUCGUCCGGUAAUUUUAAAAAAUAAAAAGUUUCAUGAAAUGUCCCCCAGGUCAGCGAACCUAAUUCCAACACGUCAGCAACCAUGUCCUACGUGUCACCCACUUGCGUCCGUACAAUGUCCCGGCAGACAAAGCUGAGCCACACACGAACCCCGUGUGCGCCUUUUACAGCAAAUUGGGCCCCAACCUCUGCACCUCUUCGUAUCGUACCCAAGCCAUUUUCCGUCACGUAUAAGCCAACCCUUGUCUUAACGUCGUCAAGUAACGGCACCACCUCCGUCUACACUCCGUUUAAGCCUCUGUCACCGCUCUUCACUCUCCCCACAGUUCUCCGUCUCUCGCUCUCUCUACUUUCUCUCCCUAACUCAACUGUUACAUUUCUCGCACUGUCACAAUCGAGAUUUUGUAAAAAAAAGAUUCGCGGACGAUUCGGUUCUCUGAAUCAAGCAUUUGUUUCAUGAAAUGAGGAUUAGAUCUUGGGCACAGUCUAGGGUUUCGGAAUAGUCCCUGCUCAAUGGCUAUCCGAGGAGUAGAUUUCAAGUGGUGAGUUUUAUUUUUUAUAUCCCUUUCCGUUUGUUUGUUGAGAAAGCGUGGGAAACAAGAAGAAAAAUUGAGUACUGACUUCUUGUGAGAUUUUAAAUUUUAAAUUUUUUUGGUUGUUCCUGUAAUUUUUCUGAAACCAGACGGUUGAUUAGUGUGCCGAAAUUUGAGGUAGUAUCAUUCCGUUUUGGUUCUUGCAGGUAUGAUGGGUUUUUCUUGUCGAUGCUCGCUACUAGUGUGUAUCCUUUGAUAGUCAUUUCCGAGGGUCUCGUUCACAUUUUUUUUUUUUUUAAAUUCUUUCAAUUAGGUUUGAUGACUCUGAAUUGGGAACCAAUUUGUUGCUUAUUCUCAGUUUUUGUUAACAUUUGUGUACGUUUUCGUAAGCCCAUUGCUAUAGAAUAUUUUAGGUCUUGAAUUUUUUUGCCUCUAUUGUGAUUUGACAUUAGGAUCUCCUUUUACAAUCUGUUCGUUUUACGAGAAAAUGGAGGAAAUGAAAAGAGUAUAAGCGUUUCUAAUAUCCUGCUCUGCUGUCAUUUUAGUUCAACAAAAAUGGAAAAUCUCAGAGAGAGCCAAAUAUUUGCAUAGGCUAGGGUAGGGGGAGGGUUUUUCCCUCAGCUAGUGUAGUUUCUUUUGUUUUCCUAAAUUUUCUUAACAACCACAGGAGGAAUGAAUAUUUAUGUAUAUUCUUUAACAAUAUUAACUAUUAGAAUAAUUGUAGCAAUCAAUUGGAAGCGAUACGAUCUAUGUACAUAUCCGUUGCAUAUAUGGAUCAUGGUACGUUUCGAUUCUGAAUUUUAAGGAUUGGAAAGUGAUUUAAUAUUUAUUUGUACUUCAGCUUGUUGAAAAAAAAUAAAAUUUUCUUGUUCACAUCUUGUUGUUGGUCCAGGUUGACUAUACCACUGUGUUUGUUUUUCGGCUCUUGAUGUUUGUAGAUAAUGGGCUUGCUGCUGGAAUGGGUUUGUAAGGCCUCCUAUCUUAUUCCAUUGAGCUUACUAUUAAACAUGAGAUGAAUAUGUUAUUCUGGUUUAGAGUUCAUCACUCUCAGCUUCUACUUUAAUGAAAAAAAGAAUCAGCCUUUGUUAACUAUGUUGAGUAAACAUAAAUAAUUAAGUUGUCAACUUUCUAUACACUCGUGGUAUUUUUUUUUUUUUGAUAGGCAAUACAGAAGAAAACAUAUAUGAAUAAGAAAAGCACCUGAAUCAAAUGUGCGACAAAGUACAUGCAAAGCAUAUGUAUGUCACCCAAAUACAAACAGAAGGAGAAGGAAAAGAACAAAAAACAAACCCCCUCGCCCGUUGUCCUUACUUUGAACUAAUCUAGCCUACAAAGCCAAUCAUGGUCAUGGGAACUUCAUCUAUAUACAAUCUAACCCAUUCCAAAAAAGUAUUCAUAAAAGAGAGUUUAAUUGCUUGUUGUGUUUGCUCAGAAUCUUCAAAGGCUCUUCUGUUUGUUUCCUUUCAUAGCUUCCAGGACAGACACACAGGAGCAGAACUCUUAACUUUUUUCUGCUUCUUACCCACGAACGAAUCGUGCCAGAUUAACAGAGUUCCUCUAACGGUUGAAUGCAUCACCCAAACCAUGUAUAUACUUGUGGGGUGUGCGUGUGUGUAUCAAUAGUUAUUGUUGGAAGGACAUGAAAUUCACAUUUGUUGAACAAUCCUUAUACUGGAAUGAGCUGCAAGCGAGUGAUAUGACAAUCUAAAUGAUGGACUGUUCCACUUGAAUCUAUCCUCAGUGCCACACUGCUUUAAUCCUAAUAUCUAACAGUGAUAUUCCUGUAAUUUGUGUUGUCUACUCAUCUUUCUUUUUUAUGUGCUUAUUUCUAUUAAUGUAAUAAUGGAAAUUGGAGACUAUUGGUGUAUUACUUAACAUUGUCCCAAAGAAACCCAGAAAUUUGGGCUAUGUGGCUGAAUUGACUUCAUUUUAUUAUAAGAACUAUGAACCAAUCAGUACCUUUUUAGUUAUAAAAUGAAUGUUGUUCUUUGGAAAAAAAAAAAGAAGAAGAAAAAAGGCAGGUCAGUAAGAACUGUGAACCAAUCAGUACCUUUUUAGUUAUAAAAUUAAUGUUUUACUUUGAAAGAAAAAAGAAAAAAGAAAAAUGAAAAAAGGCAUCCUGACCUGUAGGUGGAGUAAAGACUGCCUCCCCCUUAUUUUGAACACUUGGAUCCUACUGCCUCAAUGCACAUAGCAGCAACCAUCUGGAACCAGUCAUCAUUUUUUAUGUUGGCUUUUCUUGAUUUUUCACAUGUAUUUUUUCUCUCAUCUGCAACCAUAGAUGGUAUGAAUACAGCGCCCCACCCGGGCCACCCCCUUCUUCUUCCUUCCCACUAAGUAGCCUUGGUACUUUAGGAAAUGUAUCAAGCCUUUAACUAACAGGGUGUAUGCCACUUUUGCCUGUGCUGUGUGGAAAAUAAUGUUGCAGAGGACCGUGUGUUCAAUAGAGAGAGAGACCUUCUGGUGUAUGACAUCUCGUACAGACCUAAGUUUGUGAGAACAAUGAACGGGCUUUAGCACUUGAGAUUUGGCCCAAGUGGUAAAGGGUUGAGGAGGGAUGUUCUAGGUUCAAGUCCCAAUGGGGACAAAAAUAUACCUAUCAAAAGAUUAAAAAGAAAAAAAAAAAAAAAAAAAAAACAAUGAGUGGGUUCCAUUUAAUAUCACCUAGUGGAGUUGCAGAUUCCUUAUAUUAAUGAAAUCAAAUAAUCUAAAAUCUUGUGGUUGCAAGGACUUCCACAUAUCUGGGAGUGUUUCUGUUGAAGUCAUGGCCUCCUUUUUAAGUUAGAACAAUAUUUGAUUACUGAAGCUUAUUGAUCCAAUCACUAUGGUUACAGGGGAACUAUGGUAAUUUUGUUAGUGUAGGUCCUUGCCAUUUUCGUAUUGCAUCUUCCAUUAACUAAUGUUGAAUGAGUUAUUCCACUCUGCAUUUUAAUGCUUAUAAAUUCAUAGAAAAAAGGAGAUUUCUGAUGAUAAACUAGUCAUCAUUAUAUUAAACAUGUGGGUUUUCCUAUAAAACAUUGGUGGAGAGAGUGAUUGAACAAAAGUUUAUCCAAAGAAUAAGAUUUUUGGAUUUACUCCAUGUUAAAAUCGUGGGUUUCUUAAGAAGGAAAAGAACAAUAGAGAAGACAUGCUGCCUAUGGUUUAUGUUGACUAGAGAAGACAAAGAAAGUAUGUGUUGAAGUGCUGGAAAAAAGGCAUGUUUGCCUAUGAUAUGACUGAAAAGGACCCCAUAUGUGCAGAAUUUAUGUAGCUGACUGGAACAGUUGAGAUCAGGCUUUAUGGGGUUUAUGUUUUAUUUGACAUCUUUUCAGCUCUGUUUUUUAUUCUGGAGGAUUUGGUAAAUUUUGUCUAUCAAUUUGGUCCAAGUCCAUAAAGCAUAAGAGGGGAAAAAAAAUGAAAUGCCUGGAUGUUGCUCAACUGUAAGAGUAAUUUGCAAAAUGUGAGAGAAGUCAUUCUUCUAGAGUCAACUUUGUUCUUCUUAAUGAAAUGUGAAUUAAAAUAAAAAAAAAUAAUUAUAAUUUCUUUCUUUGCAUCUGUUUGAUUGUCAAUUUAAAUGAGGUACAUAUGUUUUUCCUUAAAUCUUUUUCUAGAGUGGCAUUAUUGGUUUUACUUGUUUCUUUGCUUUGUUCUUGAAGGGUGUUUGGUAUAUUCCUGAAUUGCAAAUGACGGAUUGUUCUUUAUUUUUCAAUUUUAUUUGCUUUUAGGGAUUUUGGGUGGCAGCAGAGAUAUGCUCGCUUUUGUGGAAGAAUAGUGGUUCUUUCCAUUCUUUCUUUGCUACUUUAUCCCUUUCUUUGGGCUUGGACUGUAAUUGGUACUCUGUGGUUCACUAGGGCAAGAGACUGUGUAAGAUCUUCCUCGCAUGUUUUUCUUGAGUGGCCAUUGUUAUUAAUAUUAUUUGCAUUUACCUAUCAAAAAAGGGAAAAAAGAUGGAUGUAAUGUGUUGGAAUGCAUACAGUUACCUGAAGAAGGUCAGAAAUGGGGUUUCCUUAUUUGGUUGCUUUUCAGCUAUUGUGGACUCCUUUGCAUUGCUUGCAUGUCCAUGGGGAAGGUUAGUUGGUGUUUUCUAGUCUUGCUGUAUGGUAUCACUAAAUUCAAUUCAAUUUGCUCUUGGCAUGUGAGAGUAUUUCACUUCCGUCUCCUAUUUAGUGCCAUCCUUAAUUUGGGCUACCUGCCAGAAAUAUAGUUCUAAGAUGAUUUGCUUGUGGCAAGUUUUAUGCCUUUUCAUCUGUGUUUUUUGAACUUUUUUCUCCAGUGGUUUUCACGAAGACAAGCACACUUACUACGUGCUCAACAAGGGAUUCCUGUUUCAGAAUAUGGGGUGAGUUCUAGAUUUUCACUGAGCUCUGCAAUGCUCGCUGGACCCUGAAGAUAUUGUUUUAUACCAUCAUUUUCUUAAGGUUUUGGCAAUUGAUCCUUGGAUUAAACAUAGGAUCCAUAUUAAGUUUAAAAAAUUUGAAGUACUCUAGUUUUAUGAUUAAUAUCAAAAUAGAGUAAUUCUUUUAUAAUCAUGCAAGCAAUUCUGGUAGAAUGAACAUUAAGAUAUUGAAGAAGAUAAAGAAAGAAGUUUGCACCCUUGAUGUGUCAAACAUUUUGAGUUUAGUCUACUUGUUAGAGUUAGGUCAUGAUGAAGUAAAUAUGUUUAUACCCAUGGCUAAUCCUUCUGUAGACAUAUUGAGAGUUUUUUUACCCACUUAAAUUUUGAAAAUUUUCUUUUUGUGGUUUGGAAAGAAACUAGGACCAUUUUAAGUGAACUCAUAUCAAGCUUCUUCUUCUUCUUCUUCUGAAUGGAAGUGUAUCAGUAUACAUAUCCAACAAUAGAGUGGAAUAAACUUCUUAGACACCUCUACCUUUUGACUGUCGUUGAAGUGUUCCUUUGGGAAGUAAACCUUUGUCAUAACUAUUGAACACUUGGUUCUUGGACUAAAUAUGAACACAUUUUUCUGAUAUGAAAAUCACUUUGAUGUAUUUCAAUAUGUUUUGUCUACAUUUGAGUAUUGACAACACUGCAUGAAACUUUUUGUUUUCACUAAAAUGGUUCCCAAUUGUUUUACAUUUUAUUUUACUUCAGUUUGCUGGUUCUUAAACUAGACAUUUGCUGUGAAUUUUUCCUUCAGGUUUUGGUGGACAUGAUCAGGGUACCAGAUUGGGCUUUUGAAGCUGCAGGCCAGGAGAUGAGAGGCAUGGGUCAAGAUGCUGCUGCAUACCAUCCUGGCCUUUACUUGACUCCAACUCAGGUAACUGUGAAUAUAUUAACAGGGCUUAGAACUAGUCCCCCUUCUCUAUUUUGGAGUAUGAUUUUUUCUUUCCUAUGGUUUGGGUAUUUGCUCUGCAAUAUUUGAUGUUAGGAUCAGUCUGGCCCAUGAUUUGCAAUUCUGUAUUUUACUGGCAACUGGUAGCAAUUUAAACAAACUCAGUGCUUGGACUGGCACUGCACUAGAUAUUGACAAGAAAUUUGGGAGUGGCAAUCCUAGAAUGGUUGGAUAAUGAUCAGACACAGGAAGUUAAGAGUCCUCCAUACACCAUGAAUAGACAAUGCUAAUGGGGCAUAUGAUGCUACUUUCUUUUAUGAUGGAUUAUUUACUAUUCUCUUUUAGUGGUUAACACUUAUCACUCUUACAUGACUGGUCUUUUAUUUAAAUUGGAAAAUAGAGGGAAGCAGUGGAGGCUCUUAUUCAAGAACUUCCAAAGUUCAGGCUGAAGGCAGUUCCAACUGAUUGCAGUGAAUGUCCCAUCUGCUUAGAAGAGUUCCAUGUGGGAAAUGAGGUAAAAUACUUACCUAGUUCAUUGUGUUAUCAUCUAUGGAUUUACCAAAAAAGAAAAUGUGGAGUCUAUUUGGCAAUAUUUUUUAAAAUAGUUUUUGAAAAUAGUUCUAUGUUGUUUUCAAUAAUAAAAUGAAAUGUGGUGGCUAUUUGGCAAUAUUUUUAAAAUACGGUUUUUGGAAAUAGUUGUAAAAACAAUUCGUAGUUGUUUUGAAGAAGAAAAUUCUGUUUGAGAACUUAAAUUUGAAAACAGUUUUCUUGGCUUAUUUUCUAUCAAGGUAUUACUAUGUUAUUAUGUAUAAUACAAAAGUUUCCAAAGUAUUUUCUAUAUUUUCAAUUAUUUUUUCAAACAGUCUACAAUGAAUCACUCGAGAAAACCUAAAUUUAUUCUUUAAAAUAAUCCUAUUUUUAAAAACCUGUUUUUAGUUUAAAAAAAAUUUGUCAAACCGUGUUUUUUUAACUUGGAAGGCUACUUUCAAUUUUUUUAUUUUUAAAAAAAAAGUCAUUUUCAAGAACAAAUUCCAAACAAACCAUUAAAGUUUAUGUACUAAUUUCAACUUUAAUAGAAGGUUUUAUACUGGUUGCAACCCCACACAAAUUCUCUUAUGUCCGGGAUGCUGGCUGAGCGAGAUGCAGCUGCAAAAGUGAUGCAGGUGGAGCUAUUAAAGGAAGGAAAAUUAGUGACACAAGGAUAUGUUUGGUUCUCGGAAAAUUUCAGGGAAAAUGUAAGGAAAAGAAAAUACAAAGAAAAAGUAGAAGGAAAUAAGAAGUGAAGAAAAAUAAAAAAUAAAUUAAAAGUUGAUAAAUAAUUUGUAUUUACUACUUUAAAUUCAUUUUAUUUAUUUUAACUCAUCUAUAUAAAGAUUAAAUAAUUUAAUAAUAUAUAAAUUUUUAACUAAUUUUAAUUUUUUUUGAUAUUUUUUUGUAAGAUAAUCAAACAUAAAAAAAUUAUUUUCUUUUAUAUUUUUUUUUUCUUAGUAUUUUCUAAGUACCCAACAUAACCAAAAAGAAAAGAAAAGAAAAUCAGACUCAAAACUGCACUAUUUUGAAGGUAUGCCACUACUGCGUGCUAACUUUUGAUGAUGCAGGUUCGUGGCCUUCCCUGUGCUCACAAUUUCCAUGUGGAAUGCAUUGAUGAGUGGCUCCGGUUGAAUGUGAAAUGUCCUCGUUGCCGCUGCUCAGUCUUCCCAAACCUUGACCUUAGCGCGCUGACCCAUUUUCGGGCCGAUUCAGAAAGAUCAUCUGCUAGUGUGGUGACAGCCACUCGUUAUGUGAGAGUCCAACCUCCCAGCCAGGGCUAUAUGUUGAGAUUGCAGGGCUUUCUCCGGCCAGUCCGGACGGAAAAUGCAGGGGCAGGCAACGAUGCAGAUAAUGCUUUGGAAAAUGCUGAGAAUGGUGGUCUGCCAGUUGUAACGGAUGAUCUCACAAACACAGAACCAGCACCUUUUGAUAAUGGAGUGCUGGUUCAUCACUCCACCCCACCUCAAAGUUAAGACCAUUUCUUGAAUUUUCUCUUACACAUUUUAUGUUGGCAUCUAACUGCAUGUACUGAGAGAAGACACCUGAUGCUUAUACUGGGUUUUCAUUGUAAUGAAAAGAAUUUAUUGAUAUGAAGAUCGUUUUUUUCAUUUUUUUGGGCCAGCUAAUGGAGUUCGGAUUAUUGCUGCUUUCAUUUCCCCUGUCCCCUUAUAAUUGUUUUGAGUUUACAGCCAUGUACCUCAUGAACAUGAACCCUAUAAAGACAGUUCCAUAAAUAUGAAGCAUGUUUUGGUAUAGAAGUCAAAGAAAUAUAUAUAUGAUAUCUCACACCAUCGCUCAGGGCGAUGGCGGUUCAUUUGGUAUGUACAGAUGCGUUUAAAAGGCCUUAGAAGUCGUGAGGGUCUGAAGUGAGAGCCAAUGGGCGAGAAUGUGGGCUUAAAUUAUCGUAAUUGGUUCUUGCAGAAAGGUGACAGAAACUACUUCCAAAGGGGGGCCUUCAGGCUUCAGGCUUCAGGCAGGUAUACAUUUAAACCAAUCUUUUUGCCUGAUUGAAAAUCAUCCCAUUUUGUGUGUUGAUGCAGAGUGCCUUGUCAGAUAGAAGUGAGCCAUUCUUGGAGCAAUGGCAUGUGGUUUAAAGAGAAGAAGAGAAGGUGGGAAGUGGGACCUGGAGUUCGCGGUGGUUGUCAUUUGUCCACUCCUUUGAUACUGUAGAUGAUUCUAUCAAGUGCGUUUGUACUUUGUUUGCACUUUGAAGCCAAGCUUUCUCCACUUGGAUGAUAUUUACUAUUUUACUAACGUCAGAGUUUUUAUAUUAAUUACAUAUAUAUAAAUAUCAAGAUAUUAUUUGUGGUGUACCGUGUUAAAAUUGGCCUCCACGUUGAAUUUUACCCAACUUUUCAUUUUCACAACACGUGUACUGCGCUGCGCUUGGUCUCCAAGGGCCGAGUGCGCAGUUGAGGUUUACGGGUCACAAGGGCCAGCACAUGACUUUAUAGCUUUUAAAAAUAUUAGUUAUAAUAAUUUCACCACCCUUUAAAUACAAAGCCAAUAAUUUCAUGGAUUAAUAUUUUUAGGGUUAAUUGAAAUGUU
rnacentral:lncRNA from 1 species